rnacentral:lncRNA from 1 species
GGUUCUAAUCCAAUUAGUAGUAAGUAUUUUCUUUUUUAUUUAAUAGUCUCUGACUAUCAUUAAAUAAAGGGUAGAGCAAUUCUUUUUUCUAGAGAUUCUAGAGAAAGUGAGACAAAGUGAAGCGAAAGAGUUUUCUUUGUAUAAGAAUUAGGUCUAUAUCAUAUCUAAAUAGAAGGGAAAUCAAAAAGAAGGGAAGUGGUGGGUUAGCCUCUAGUGGCUAAAGAUAUAAACUUAGAUUAGUAAGUUGUUUUGAAAAUCCCUAGAAUCAAGGAGAGUUUUGGAAAUCCCUAGAAUCAAGGAGAGCCUUCUCCAUUUCGGUUGGGCCAUUGGCUAUAUAUGCUUGUAAUCGCUUGACAAUCAAUUAAGGAAGAAUUAUAUCCUUAAUCUCUCUCUGUGUGUGUUAAACCUGCGGUUGAGGGGGGGAUAACCUCACUGGAGAGGACGACAGAUGGCUACGAGCUGCGUAGCCACGGUCCGGCUAGUCGGGGGCUCGACGCCCUUGACAUCAAAUAGUUUGUGGAUAAAACUAAAAACGAUCCAAAAAAUAAAAUAUGGAAGAGCACAUCUAUGAAAAAAAGGACAGAUGAAUGGAAAUUUUCAGACACAUGUAAAAACAGACAAGUGAGGAGCUUUGGGUUAUCUUACAAAGCACUUGGUGAAUGGACCCCCAGUAUGAAGGGUCUCCUUAAGGAUGGAGUUUGUAUUAACAAUGCUCUUCAAAAUAACUGUAAUGCUGUCUUCGUUGCUGCAAUAAGCAAGGCAACUCAUGAUCACAAGGUUAUUCUGAAUCACCAAACUAAAAUGAGGAUAAACAUAGUAGCUCUUAAGAAAUAGAAGGCAAACCUUGUUCUACUAUUACCAACAACAACAGAAGGCCGUAUAGGAACAGGUGGCACUGCAAUCUCUGUCACAAUAAGUUUCUCUGGCCUAUCACCAAGGUUUAGUAAUUCACAAUCCUGCAGAAAAAUGAAAAAAGAGUAAACUUUUGUCAACAAAACUGCGACAAGUUCAAAUUGCAAAAUAGCAUCUAAUGUGAGGCAACCAAUGUGGCUUGGGGCAACUUGUUAGAUAGGUUUAAUGUUUUCUCCAGCUCACUUGCCUGUCCUAGUGUUAUUGAGCACUAAAACAGGGAGUAGCAGAACACAUCAAAUGGUCCUUCUUCACUUAAGACCCUUGAAGGAUGAAAAUUGGCACCAACCUCAUCAAUCAUUCUUCUGAAUAGAGAUAGAACAGUUGCAGGGUCUAACACUAGAACUGAACUAGCAGACACCUUUUCUUUCUUAUUUUGUAGUGCAUUCUUCAAUUCUUCUGUAUGUCCAUCCAAAACUUUGCUACAAUCAUGAACUACUAUCAAGCCCGCUCUGCCUUUUUUAACUACACCUGUUUUUACAACAAAAACAGGAAAGAGUUGACUGUUGAGCGAUUUCUUGCAAAUGUUAGCUUACAAACAACAGUCAGGUAUCAGUAGUGACAUUACAAGGUAAAAUUAUUAUGGACAAUAUAGGAUGGCUUACCAUUUCUGUAAUCACAACGGGGGCAGCAGGAUAGUUUGCAUUUGUCCCUCACUUUUUUCAUUGUAGCACUUUUCUGUAGUGCAUCUGCCCUGGGAUUUCUCAUCUUCUUUAGAAACUCCCUGCGGUCUUUCUCGAUAAGAAGAACUCUACUACAGCUCUGGAAAGGCAUGAGGGAACGAGAAUAAUUAACAAGUCAGAGUUCAAGUGUUCAGCCCACCCAUGAUGUAAACUUCUUCAUGGCAGUACCUUGCAGAUGCACUUCAACACGUCCAGAAUACAGUUAAAGAAGCCCACGUUAAAAACUGGAAGCGCGAGCUUCAAGUAGCCGAAAUGACCUGGACAGUCACUAAAUUCACCAUGGCAGGUAUUGCAUUUGCCUCUCUUAGUCGGGAUUCCCUGAAAUUUGACACGGGAAAAAUAAGUUGCAACAACUUGAACGAUGCCACAAACGCACGUUUAUGUUAGAACUCCCAUCUUCAAAUCAUCAAUGAAAAUACACAUGACGAAACAGCAAUACCGAGCGGGGCAUUACCAUUCGCGGGUCGAGCAACCCAUUGGGAACCGGCGUCAUGUCGCGGUCAUAGAUCCGGUUGUUCCAGACCUGUACCUCCGCUGACUUGCGAAUCUCGCUGCCCGAGAGCACGCUGAACCGGAUGCUCUUUCUGACAUCAAAAGCAACCAAACGUAACAGGGAAGCGGCAGAGUAAGUGUAAUCGUCGAGCUACGAUUCAUUAAACGGGACGCGAGCCGCAUGCUUACAUCCUCCGGGUGCCGACGUCCUCGAUGAAGGGUUCCUUGGUGCAGCGCAGCUUCUCCUCCGGCUUCGCCAUCACUUGAUGCGUUGCUCUGUACGGAUUAGAGUAGGGACUAGGUAUGCUGGGGAGUGAAGGGCGGCGGGCGGCGGGAGACGAGCACCGUAGUUUCGUCUCGAGCCGCCGCCGGCUAUUCUCCGGCGAGGAGUCCUCUGCACAGAAAGCGGAGGUGGAAGCAGCUUAGGCGGCGGCGGCGGCGGCGCGGGAGACCUAGAUCACUUUUACCUUACUGAUGACUUAAAUAAGUAAGGGUAAACUGAUAUUAUAUAUUGUCCCGUUCAAAUUUAUAAAAACAUUUGACUUUUUUUCUUUAAAUUUAAAUUUAAUAUAAAAAUCAGAGAUUAUUUAAACUGAUAUUAUAUAUUGUCUCGUUCUCAAAUAUUGUGAAUCAAAAACAAGUCAACACGAUUAUCAAACAUUAAGGACAUUUGUCUUUGAAAUAUUAUCUCCUCUCGGAUAUAAUGAUCUCCAGACGAAGAUCAUUGAUGACACGUCUUCAUGGUUCAUAAGAGUUUAUAUGCAUGAGUUGUUUUAUCCAUUAAUAUAUUUAUUCCAUGAUAAACAUAUAAAUAUUAUUAGAAUUUAUAUUACAUUGAUAUCUUCGGCUUGUUUGAAGGUGAUAACACGAGAGCAAUUACAAUCCAACGUGAACAGUAUGAGGGUACUGUUCAUCUAUUUAUAGGCAACUAUAAAAGUUUGUGUGCUAUUACAUUUAUGCCCUCGACAAUUACAUACAGAGUUUGCAAAAUGUUACAAGAGCAGUAUCGUCAUUUGUAUUUACUAACUUGAGCAACACCUUCUCCUCAUGUUGUAUAUCUGUUUCACCGUGAUGAAGCAUGUUGGACGAAGCUCACUUCGCUCCUCUUGUGUUAUGUCGAAGCUUUUCUGGUGACGAAGCUCUUGUAAUAUCUAAUAGUAUAUUGAAAGCAAAUGGUUAACCGCGUUUUUGACGACCUUUAGAAGAGGAAGGCCCCCAACAAUAACAUCGCUUGCAUUGCUAGGCAAACAAGGAAAACUGCUACUCUGUCCCGCCUAACCUAAGAGAUGGAUUAGUAUUAGGAAGAUUCAAUUCAAAAUACACAAAUAGUCGUUGAACACAUCACAACAACAAAAAAAAUAAUGAAUUUUAGCUAAAACACUCGUACUAUAAAAGUACACACAAUUAGUAGUACUAGUGUUGCACCGACUAAAUAGCUAUGAUAGAGAUGACCAUUAUUAAUCUAAUAAGAGUACAAAUUUCAAAUGUUGAAUGGCUAGACCACCUCUCUUGGUUUUGUGUUGCUGCAUGUUCUGAACUUUUUCCAUUGUAGAGGCAACAUGAAUAGUCGCUCAUCGACUCUUCAUAAUUGACUCUUCAUAAUUGUAGCAUCGCUUGCAUUGCUAGGCAACAAGGAGAAAUUGUUGCUCUAUCCAACCUAGCAUAAGAGAUGGAUUAGCAUUAGGAAGAUUCAAUUCAAAAUACACAAAUAGUCGUUGAACACAUCACAACAAAGAUAUUAGUGAAUUUUAGCUAAAGCACAUGUAUUAGUGGCUACCAGGGGCACUAUGGAAGUAGAGCCUAUUUUUUCUGAAAUUGCAACUCUGGUUCAUCAGUUGUCUGUUGUUCCUCACUAGAAAUCUGAAAUUUUGUUCAUUACAUAUAGCAAAGAUCAUGCAAACAGGACACCUGACUGCGAACACAAGGUUGACUUGUCCCUUGUGAUUCGGGUUGAUGAUGAUUGAUUGUCAGCGGGUAGCACUACAGGGUAGUCAGUGGACUGACCAGAGUGUGAGAUUAUGUUUGUGCAACCAUUUCGGUCGUCUUGUGGUGUGCAGGUGUGGAGCAUAGGGAUGGUGGUCAACGACUGAUGUGAAGGUCAUGCAGACUCGUCCUGAUGGACCGAGAGCGGUGAAGGCGAGUGUUGGGUCUUGACUGACGGACCAGAGCAGCCGGGUGACCAGUCGCGGUGGCUGACACCUAGGACACUGAAAGGGAAAUGUGCCCUUGGAUCAUUUCUAUAAAUAUUUUAGUGAUUAGAUGUUGAACACAUAUUGUUUUGUGCUAAGUGUCAAAGAGAUGCAAAUGGAAAAACAAGGUAUGACUCUAGCCUUAGUAAAUUGUUUUUGGUACUAACAUAUUCUUCUAAGUGCUAGAAACCUUGGCAAAUCGAGAGAAAUCAGAUUGGGGAACUCGCAUCAGCCUACGUUACACCGGACUGUCUAGUGUGCACCGGGCAGUGUCCGGUGCCCAGGCUGACGCGCCGGCAAACAGGCAGCUCUCGGGAUAAACUCAGCGUGCCACAACUAUAGUUCACCGGACUGUCCGGUGAGUCAGCCGCACCCACGCCAACGGGCAGCCACGCGAUCAGCGGGCGACACGUGGACUUCACCAAUGGUCGAAUGGUCACACCGGACUGUCAUGUGUGCCACCAGACUGUCCGGUGUGCCACGAGGGUCGAUGGCUGCAACGGUCGGCUUCACCAGAAAAGGAAGGAAAUCGUGCACUAUUCACUGUUUGGUGAUGCACCGGACUGUCAGGUGUGCCCACGGACAGAAGGCAACAAUGGCCUUCCAAAAUGGAGCUCCAACGGCUCCUAGCUUCCUUGGGGCUAUAAAAGGGACCCCUAGGCGUAUGGAGCAGGACACCAAGCCUCCAUUGAACAUCCUAAGACGCCUAGACCCCACAAACACGCAUUCGACUCAUUGUGUUUGAGAUCUUAGCACUUUUCUGAGUUGUGACUCUGUUGCGCUAUGUUGUGUACUCGAUUCUUGACUUGUGUGCGUGUUAUUACUACGACUCUAGCUCUUAUGUGUGUUUAUUUUCCCUCCCUUACUCUUGUGGUUGAAUUGUGAUCAAUCUUGUAAGGGUGUGAAAGGGAAAUAGGGUUAACCUUUUCCCGGUAUUAAUUUUGGUGGUUGAAUGCCCAACACAAAUAUUGGACUAACUAGUUUGCUCUAGAGUAUAUGAUCUACAGGUGCAUAAAGGUUCAACACAAACCAAUAAAAGAUUGAAGAUAGGGUUCAAAUACAAAGGAGCAAAGGAACCGAGAGUGCCCUGGUCUGGCGCACCGGACUGUUCGGUGUGCCACCGGACAGUGUCCGGUGCACCAGGACCAUACAAUCCCAAACCAGCCACUCUCGGGUUUUCGCCAGCGCGCUCCACUAUAAUUCACCGGACUGUCCGGUGUGCCACCGGACUGUCCAGUGUACCAGCGGAGUAACGGCUAUCCAGCGCAACAGUCGACUGCAACGUCGCCUGACAUCGCUAAAGUGAAGAACAGUGUGCGCGCAGAGUCAGAGGCGCACCGGACAGUGAACAGUGCCUGUCCGGUGCGGCACCGGACUGUCCGGUGCCACUAGAAGACAAAGCCUCCAACGAUUGACUGCUCUCGAACCCUAACGGUUGGGUGACGUGGCUGGCGCACCAGACUGUCCGGUGCGCCCAUCGACAGCAGCCUGCCCCAACGGUCAAAUUGGUGGUUUAGGGCUAUAAAUACCUCCCAACCACCACCACUCCAACCAUCCAAACAUUCCACACAUUGCAUUCAAUACAAGAGCGAUAGACUUCACUCCAAGACACAAAUCAAAGCAAUCGAUCCACUCGAAGUCCCAAAUUCAACUCUAGCGCAUUAGGGCUUGUGAGAGGAUCACUUGUGUUUCUUGUUGCUCUUGUUUGCUUGGUUGGCUUUCUUUUCUUUUCAUUUGUUACUCUCAAGUGCUUUGUAAGCAAGGCAAGAGACACCAAUUGUGUGGUGGUCCUUGCAGGGUCUAAGUGACCCGUGAGAAGUAAGAAGAAAGCUCAUUCGGUCUAAGUGACCGUUUGAGAGAGGGAAAGGGUUGAAAGAGACCCGAUCUUUGUGACCACCUCAACGAGGACUAGGUUCUUUAGAACUGAACCUCGGUAAAACAAAUCACCGUGUUCAUCCACUUUAUUUUUUUGGUUGAUUUGUUUUUCCCUAUCUUUCGAACUCGAAUUUAAUUCUAACGCUAUCCCCGGCUUGUAGUGUGCGCUUAAGUUUAUAAUUUUCAGAUUCCGCCUAUUCACCCCCCUCUAGGCGACUUUCAAUUGGUAUCAGAGCCUGGCGGUUCAUUAGAGUCUAACAACUCGAAGUGAUGUCGGGAGGAUCCGCCAAGAGGGAGAUAGAAACCGGCGAGAAGGCCACAAGCCAUGGGAAGGCUCCAUCAAGGGAGUCUGGCACCAAAGCCAAAGAGGGAUCCCCUCUCCACGUCAAGUCGCAUCGGAGUGGCGACAAGAAGAAGAAGAUGAAGAAAGUGGUCUACUACGAGACCGAUUCUUCGUCGCCCUCCACAUCCGGCUCCGACACGCCGUUCGUCACUUCUAAGCGCCAUGAGCGCAAGAAGUUUAGUAAGAUCCCCUUACGCUAUCCACGCAUUUCCAAACGCACUCCUUUACUUUCCGUCCCACUAGGCAAACCACCGGUCUUUAACGGUGAAGAUUAUUGUAUGUGGAGUGAUAAAAUGAGGCACCAUCUAACCUCACUCCACGCUAGCAUUUGGGAUAUUGUUGAGUUUGGUGCGCAGGAACCAUCCGUGGGGGAUGAAGGCUAUGAUUCGGACGAGGUAGCCCAAAUCCAACACUUCAACUCCCAAGCCACUACUAUACUCCUCGCCUCUCUAAGUCGAGAGGAGUAUAAUAAGGUACAAGGGUUGAAGAGUGCCAAAUAGAUUUGGGACAUGCUCAAGAUCGCGCACGAAGGAGACGAGGUGACCAAGAUCACCAAGCGAGAGACGAUCGAGGGGGAGCUCGGUCGAUUCAUGCUUUACCAAGGGGAGGAGCCACAAGCCAUGUAUAACCGGCUCAAGACCUUGGUGAACCAAGUGCGCAACCUCGGGAGCACCAAAUGGGAUGACCAUGAGAUGGUCAAGGUUAUUCUUAGAUCACUCGUUUUCCUUAACCCUACUCAAGUUCAAUUAAUUCGUGGUGAUCCAAGAUAUAAACUAAUGUCUCCCGAGGAAGUGAUAGGAAAGUUUGUGAGCUUUGAGCUAAUGAUCAAAGGCUCCAAACAAAUCAUUGAGCGAGGCGCCUCCUCCACACCCGAGGUACAACCCGUCACAUUCAAGGCGACAGAGGAGAAGAAAGAAGAGUCUACAUCAAGUAGACUCCCCAUCGACGCCUCCAAACUCGACAACGAGGAGAUGGCGCUCAUCAUCAAGAGCUUCCACCAAAUCCUCAAGCAAAGGAGGGGGAAUGAUUACAAACCCCGCUCCAAGAAGGUUUGCUACAAAUGUGGUAAGCCUGGUCAUUUCAUUGCUAAAUGUCCAUUAUCAAGUGAUAGUGACAGGGGCGAUGACAAGAAGGGAAGAAGGAAGGAGAAGAAGAAGUAUUACAAGAAGAAGGGCGGCGAUGCCCAUGUUUGCCGGGAGUGGGACUCCGAUGAGAGCUCCACCGACUCCUCCUCCGACGAGGAUGUCGCAAACAUCGCCGUCAACAAGGGUCUCCUCUUCCCCAACGUCGGCCACAAGUGCCUCAUGGCAAGGGACGACAAAACGAAGGUAAAAUCUAGAGCCUCCACUAAAUAUGCAACAUCUAGUGAUGAGGAGAACUCUAGUGAUGAUGAGGAUAAUUUAGUUGCCCUUUUUGCCAACCUAAAUAUGCAACAAAAGGAAAAAUUAAAUGAAUUGAUAGGUGCUAUUCAUGAGAAGGAUGAACUCUUGGAUAGCCAAGAGGACUUCCUAAUUAAGGAAAAUAAGAAGUAUGUUAAGGUUAAGAAUGCUUAUGCUCAGGAGAUAGAAAAAUGUGAGAAAUUGACUAAUGAGCUUAGCACUUGCCAUGAUAUCAUAUCCAACCUUAGAAAUGAUAAUGCCAAAUUAAUUGCUAAGGUUGAGAAGUUAAAUGUUUGUGAUGAUUCUUUUGCCAAUCUUAAAAAUGAUAAUGCUAGUUUACUUGCUAAGAUUGACAAAUUAAAUGAAUCAAUUUCUAGCCUUAAAACUGAGAAUGACAAAUUAAUUGCUAAGGCUAAGAAUUUAAAUGUUUGCAAUGAUAUUGUUUCAAAUCUUAGAAAUGAAAAUGUCAUGUUACAUGCUAAGAUUGAUGAGUUUAAUGUUUGCAAACCCUCUACAUCUAUCAUUGAGCAUGUAUCUAUUUGCACUAGAUGUAGAGAUGUUAAUGUCGAUGCUAUCCAUGAUCACAUUGCUAUGAUUAAACAACAAAAUGAUCACAUAGCAAAAUUAGAUGCUAAAAUUGUCGAGCAUGAAUUAGAGAAUGAAAAAUUUAAAUUUGCUCGUAGUAUGCUUUAUAGUGGGAGACGCCCUGGCAUUAAGGAUGGCAUUGGCUUCCAACAGGGAGGCAAUGUCAAGCUUAAUGCCCCUAAGAAAUUGCCUAAUUUUGUUAAGGGCAAAGCUCCCAUGGCUCAGGAUAACGAGGGUUACAUUUUAUACCAUGCCGGUUAUCCCGAGCACAAAAUUAGGAGAAUUCACUCUAGGAAGUCUCACUCUGGCUCUAAUCAUGCUUUUAUGUAUAAGAGUGAGGCAUCUAGCUCUAGGCAAUCAACCCAUGUUAAAUUACCUAAAAAGAAAUCUCCUAUAGCAUCAAAUGAACCUAAUAUUUCAUUUAAGACUUUUGAUGCUUCUUAUGUGCUCACUAACAAAUCAGGCAAAGUAGUUGCCAAAUAUGUUGGGGUCAAACACAAGGGAUCGAAGACUUGUGUUUGGGUACCCAAGGUGCUUGUUUCUAAUGUGAAAGGACCCAAGACCAUUUGGGUACCUAAGAACAAGGCCUAAAUUUGUUUUGUAGGUUUAUGCAUCCGGGGGCUCAAGUUGGAUCAUUGAUAGCGGGUGCACAAACCACAUGACUGGGGAGAAAAGGAUGUUCUCCUCCUAUGAGAAAAAACAUGAUCCCCAAAGAGCUAUCACAUUCGGGGAUGAAAAUCAAGGUUUGGUCAAAGGACUUGGUAAAAUUGCUAUAUCACCUGACCAUUCCAUUUCCAAUGUUUUUCUUGUAGAUUCUUUAGAUUAUAACUUGCUUUCAGUUUCUCAAUUAUGCAAAAUACGCUACAAUUGUAUUUUUAGGGAUAUAGGUGUUACUGUCUUUAGAAGAAGUGAUGAUUCAGUAGUGUCGGCAUUUCAAACCCGGGGGGUCCCUGGACCGACGAGUAAAUUAUCGCCGCGUGCCCCAGUCCAGAUGGAUCGGCGCGAGACGGAGCGCGAAGGGGGGAAGCAGCCGGAGGGAGACAGGCGUGAGAGGUGAAAUCCCGCGGCCUUCGUGUUUGUCCUGCGCCCAGGUCGGGUGCACUUGCAGUAGGGGGUUACAAGCGUCCACGCGGGAGGGAGCGAGCGGCCUUGCGCGAGCGCCGUCCCGUCCUUCCCCAUGCGGCCAACCCUCUCUAAGAGGGCCCUGAACCUUCCUUUUAUAGGCGUAAGGAAAGGAUCCAGGUGUACAAUGGGGGGUGUAGCAGUGUGCUAACAUGUCUAGCGGAGGAGAGCUAGCGCCCUAAGUACAUGCCAUCGUGGCAGCCGGAGAGGUUUCGGCACCCGGUUGGUGUGGUGUCGUGGCCGUCGGAGGAGCGUUGGAGCCUGGCGGAAGGACAACUGUCGGGGCUGUCGGGUCCUUGCUGACGUCCUCUUGCUUCCGUAAGGGGGCUGAGAGCCGCCGUCGUCAUAGAACAUGCGGGGCGCCAUCAUUACUUGUCUGGCGAAGCGAGCCAGAUGGGACACCGGUCCUGUUCCCCGUAGCCUGAGUCAGCUUGGGGUAGGGUAAUGAUGGCGCCUCCUGUGACGUGGUCGGUCCGAGCCCUGAGUUGGGCGAGGUGGAGGCUCCUCCGAGGUCGAAGUCGAGUCUGUCUUCCGAGGCCGAAGUCGAGUCCGAGCCCCUGGGUCGGGCGAGGCGGAGACCGUCGGCUGAGGCCAGGGCUGAGUCCGAGCCCUGGGGUCGGGCGAAGCGGAGUUCGUCUCUUCCGGGGCUGAGCCCGAGUCCGAGCCCUGGGGUCGGGCGAAGCGGAGUUCGUUUCUUCCGGGGCUGAGCCCGAGUCCGAGCCCUGGGGUCGGGCGAAGCGGAGUUCGUCAUCUUCUGGGGCUGAGCCCGAGUCCGAGCCCUGGGGUCGGGCAAAGCGGAGUUCGUCGUCUUCCGGGGCUGAGCCCGAGUCCGAGCCCUGGGGUCGGGCGAAGUGGAGUUCGUCGUCUUCUGGGGCUGAGCCCGAGUCCGAGCCCUGGAGUCGGGCAAAGCAGAGUUUCCUAUGGCGCCUGAGGCCGGACUUGGCUGCUGUCAGCCUCACUCUGUCGAGUGGCACGGUAGUCGGAGCGGCGCAGGCGGCGCUGUCCUCUUGUCAGGCCUGUCAGUGGAGCGGCGAAGUGACUACGGUCACUUCGGCUCUGUCAACUGGAGGACGCGCGUCAGGAUAAAGGUGUCAGGCCACCUUUGCAUUAAAUGCCCCUACGAUUUGGUCGGUUGGCGUGGCGAUUUGGUCAAGGUUGCUUCUUGGUGAAGACUGGGCCUCGGGCGAGCCGAAGGUGUGUCCGUUGCUGGAGGGGGUCCUCGGGCGAGACGUAGAUCCUCCGGGGUCGGCUGCCCUUGCCCGAGGCUGGGCUCGGGCGAGGCGGGAUCGUGUCCCUUGAAUGGACCGAUCCUUGACUUAAUCGCACCCAUCAGGCCUUUGCAGCUUUGUGCUGAUGGGGGUUACGAGCUGAGAUUUAGGAGUCUUGAGGGUACCCCUAAUUAUGGUCCCCGACAGUAGCCCCCGAGCCUCGAAGGGAGUGUUAAUACUCGCUUGGAGGCUUUUGUCGCACUUUUUUGCAAGGGGACCAGCCUUUCUCGGUUGCGUCUUGUUCUGGUGGGUGCGCGCGAGCGCACCCGCCGGGUGUAGCCCCCGAGGCCUCGGAGGAGUGGUUUGGCUCCUUCGAGGUCUUAAUGCAUUUUGUAAUGUUUCGGCAGGUCUGGUCGUUCCCUCAUGCGAGCUGGCCGUAGCCCGGGUGCACGGUCGGGUCCCAAGUUCUCGGGCUGGUAUGUUGACGCUGUCAACGGUUUGGCCGGAGCCGAGUUUGCGAGAGCAGCCCCCGAGCCUCCGCACAGGGCGAGAGGAUGGUCAAGGACAGACUCGACUUUUUUACAUACGCCCCUGCGUCGCCUUUCCACAAGGAGGAGGGGGAGAGCUCCAUGUUGCCCUUGGAGGGCGCCGAACAUGGUGUCUCCAGCGAGCUGCUGACGGGUAAUCCGAGUGGACGCCCGUGCCCCAUUUGUUAGGGGUCGGCUAGAGGCCCGGAGGCGCGCUCCAAAAGUACCUGCGGGUGAUCUUCCGGACCCGGUCCCCUUUUGAUGGGGUCCGAGGGCUCGAUGCCUCCCUCUGAUGGGAUUCCGUUACAAGAUCGUUCCCGCUGGUCUCGGAAAUGUCCUAGGGUACCUCGGGAGCGUAGCCCGAGCCUUGGUUAUGUAUCGAACGUACCCAGGGUCAUCCCUCGCUCUGCGUCUGAGGCGGCUGUGAACCCUUCGUGGGCCAGCCUACGAACCCCUAAUCAGUAGUGGGCGCGGAGCCCGAGUGGCCUGAGGCGGCCGUUGAACCCUUCCGAGGGGCCGGCCCUCGAACCUCUGACCAGUAGUGGGCGCGGAGCCCGAGCGCUCUGAGGCGGCUGUUGAACCCCUCUGAGGGGCCAGCCUUCGAACCUCUGAUCAGUAGGGGGGCUCGGGGUCCGUUUCCUUCGCGGAGAAGGAUCCCUUUCGGGGUAUCCCCCUUUCCCGGUCCCUGUUGUAAGAGAGAGAAAGAGGAAAGGGGAGAGAAUACGAAAUCGAGAUGAUGUGGCGCACCUUUUUGACGCGGUCAUUAUGGCGAAGGCGAAGCGUCGCUCGCUUCUCCUGCCAAAGGCGCCGCCUGUCCCGCCGCGGAGUUAAUGCGACGGGGUGAGUGGUUUGCGGGGCAGCCGUUGCGCGUGCGCGGUCCGUUCGAGGAACGGAACACGGGCGCGUCGUCUUCACACCGUGAGAGAGGGUUCUCUCGCUGUCCCACGAGGUGACGUGAGCUUGGCUGACGACGUGACCGCUGCUUCUGCCCGCCUGCCACCGCCAUUACUGCCGGCCCAUUUUUGGCUGCAUCGACCGUCUCGCCUUCUCCUGCGGCUGACUGGCCCGUGACCGAUGCGUCUGGCUAGCACUGUUGGGUCGUACGCAGAGUUGCCUCGAGUCGCGGUACUAGUUCCGCAGUCGAGGAGGCGCGGUAGUGGCACGAGUGGCGGUGCAGUUGCUCGCACGUAGCAACCGGCGCGCCGGUUGCAUGACGUGUGAGCCUAGGCCUCCAUGCUGGGCGCGUUGGAGUCGAAGGGGUGCGCCCACUUGGCGCGGUUGCAUGCCGACUGCAUGGUUGUCCGCCCUUUCACCCGCUGGUCUGGGCGAAAGUGGAGGAAUGCUUGUAACCGCUGGGCAGUUGCGUGUACCGCGCGCGGCGGUUUGGCUUCUUCUGCCCUGGGCCAGCUUGCAUGACGCGUGGGACCCAGCCCCCGUGUCGUAGGGGGAGGACCUUGGAGCGUGUUGGAGAAGACUCAGCCCUUGAUGGCUGAGGACGCAGGUGGGAAGAGUCGCCUUUAAAAGGAGGGUGAUCCCCUUGAAAGGCGACCAUGUCUUCGCACUCCCUUAUGCAUCGCGUCUUUCCACCUUCCGAGCCCCCGGAUGGGGAACACCCGCAAUCCUUCCACCUUGUCGUUGGAGGAACGCAACUUCGUGGAAGUUGGUACCUUUCAGCCAUCGUUCGGUUUCAAGGAUUUUCAUUAUGCAGCCCGGCCGCAUCCCCUCGCCGGCGGUCACCCAAGACGGUGACCACCAGCCCCUGGGUGGGGAGAAGCAAGCCGGGCUGCGAUCUUGGUCCCGCCCUCAGCUUCAAGGAUGUUCAUCAUCCUUGCUGGGGCGGAGGCCGGGCUGAGCCGGAGCUCUACCUCCCGCGCGGGUUCGUCGGUCAGCCUCUCCUUCAGCAUUUUUGGCACGGAGCCUGAACAUGUAUGUAUUUAUUUUUGGCACGGAGCCUGAACAUGCAAUGUCUUGUUCAUUGCGGCUGUCGGGGCCUGAACAUGUAUGUAUUUUUGGCACGGAGCCGUGUUUUUUCCUCAUUUUGAGCACUAAGACUCGCCUGUCGACUAUCUGAACCGCUUCACCAAGCGUGAGUCGCCUCGUGCAAAGGUGACGAGUGAGGUAUCCGUAUCCCGGAGGCGUAGGAGUCCCUCGGCUCGGUCGGCCUUGUCGUCCGAGGCUUCUCUUGCUUAGUUAAAGGAAACCCUCGGCCGCUCUUCGAUGAGCCUGAAAGUCGCCUAGAGGGGGGGUGAAUAGGGCGAAACUGAAAUUCUAAAAAAUAAUCACAACUACAAGCCGGGUUAGCGUUAGAAAUAUGAUAGAGUCCGCGAGAGAGGGUGCAAAACAAAUCGCAAGCGAAUAAUGAAGUGAGACACACAGAUUUGUUUUACCGAGGUUCGGUUCUCUCAAACCUACUCCCCGUUGAGGAGGCCACAAAGGCCGGGUCUCUUUCAACCCUUCCCUCUCUCAAACGGUCCCUCAGACCGAGUGAGCUUCUCUUCUCAAAUCACAUGGGAAUCAAAACUUCCCGCAAGGACCACCACACACUUGGUGUCUCUUGCCUCAAUUACAAGUGAGUGUUUGAUCACAAGAAAGAAUGACAAAGAAAAGAAGCGAUCCAAGUGCAAGAGCUCAAAUGAACACUACAAAUCACUCUCACUAGUCACUAAGGCUUUGUGUGGAGUUGAGAGAGGAUUUGAUCCUUUUUGGUGUGCUUUGCAAUGAAUGCUAGCUCCUGUAUAGUGGUUGGAAGCUGGAAAACUUGGAUGCAAUGAAUGGUGAGGUGGUUGGGGUAUUUAUAGCCUCAACCACCAAACUAGCCGUUUGCAGAGGCUGUCUGUUCGAUGGCGCACCGGACAGUCCGGUGCACACCGGACAUGUCCGGUGCGACAGCCACGUCACCAAAAGCCAUUGGGUUCGACCGUUGGAGCUCUGUCUUCUGGGCCCGCCUUGAUGUCCGGUGGCGCACCGGACAUGUACUGUAGAGUGUCCGGUGCGCCAGCAUGGGCGUGCCUGACCUCUGCGCGCGCUGGCGCGCAUUUAUUACGUCGCAGGUAGCCGUUGGCGCCUGAAGUAGCCGUUACCCCGCUGUUGCACCGGACAGUCCGGUGUACACCGGACAGUCCGGUGAAUUAUAGCGGAGUGGCCGAAGUGAAUUUCCGAGACUGGCGAGUUCCGGAGGCCGCUCUUCCUUGGAGCACCGGACACUGUCCGGUGUACACCGGACAGUCCGGUGAAUUAUAGCGGAGUCGCCUCUGGAAUUUCCUGAAGGUGAGCAGUUCGGAGUUGGAGUCCUCUGGUGCAUCGGACAUGUCCGGUGGCACACCGGACAGUCCGGUGCGCCAGACCAGAGGUGCCUUCGGUUGACCCUUGUUCCUUUGUUUGAACCCAAUACUUGGUCUUUUUAUUGGCUAAGUGUGAACCUUUGGCACCUGUAUAACUUAUAUACUUGAGCAAACUAGUUAGUCUAAAUAUUUGUGUUGGGCAAUUCAACCACCAAAAUUAAUUAGGGACUAGGUGUAAGCCUAAUUCCCUUUCAAUCUCCCCCUUUUUGGUGAUUGAUGCCAACACAAACCAAAGCAAAUGUAGAAGUGCAUAAUUGAACUAGUUUGCAUAAUGUAAGUGCAAAGGUUGCUUAGAGUUGAGCCAAUAAAUAUCACUUACUAGAUAUGCAUGGAUUGUUUCUUUAUAUUAACAUUUUGGACCACGCUUGCACCACAUGUUUUGUUUUUGCAAAUUCUUUUGUGAAUCCUUUUCAAAGUUCUUUUGCAAAUAGUCAAAGAUAAAUGAAUAAGAUUUUACAAAGCAUUUUCAAGAUUUGAAAUUUUCUCCCCCUGUUUCAAAUGCUUUUCCUUUGACUAAACAAAACUCCCCCUAAAUGAGAUCCUCCUCUUAGUGUUCAAGAGGGUUUUGAUGUAUCAUUUUUGAAAUACUACUUCCUCCCCCUUUUGAACAUAAUAAGAUACCAAUUUGAAAUUGAUCAAUUGAAAAUCUCCAAUUUUAAAAAUUAGGUGGUGGUGCAGUCCUUUUGCUUUGGGCUCAUAUUUUCUCCCCCUUUGGCAUGAAUCGCCAAAAACGGAAUCAUUAGAGCCCGUAGGAGUACUUUCUCCUCCUUUGGUCAUAAAAUAAAUGAGGGAAGAUUAUACCAAAGUUGGAGAGUGAUGCGGAGCGACGGCGAAGGAUGAGUAGUAGAGUGGAGUGGAAGCCUUGUCUUCGCCGAAGACUCCAAUUCUCUUUCAAUAUAUCUAUGACUUGGUUUGAAAUAGACUUGAAAACACAUUAGUCAUAGAAAAAAGAGACAUGAUCAAAGGUAUACUCAUGAGCUAUGUGUGCAAAUUAGCAAAAGAAAUUUCUCGAAUCAAGAAUAUUGAGCUCAUGCCUAAGUUUGGUAAAGGAUUGUUCAUCAAGUGGCUUGGUAAAGAUAUCGACUAAUUGAUCUUUAGUGUUAAUGUAUGAAAUCUCGAUAUCCCCCUUUUGUUGGUGAUCCCGAAGAAAAUGAUACCGAAUGGCUAUGUGUUUAGUGCAGCUAUGCUCAACAGGAUUAUCCGCCAUGCGGAUUGCACUCUCAUUAUCACAUAGAAGGGGAACUUUGGUUAAUUUGUAACCAUAGUCCCGCAGGGUUUGCCUCAUCCAAAGCAAUUGCGCGCAACAAUGGCCUGCGGCAAUAUACUCAGCUUCGGCGGUAGAAAGAGCGACCGGAUUUUGCUUCUUUGAAGCCCAAGACACCAAGGAUCUUCCCAAGAACUGGCAAGUCCCCGAUGUGCUCUUUCUAUUAAUCUUACACCCCGCCCAAUCGGCAUCCGAAUAUCCAAUCAAAUCAAAUGUGGAUCCCCGAGGGUACCAAAGCCCAAACUUAGGAGUAUAAGCAAAAUAUCUUAAGAUUCGUUUUACGGCCGUAAGGUGGGAUUCCUUAGGGUCGGAUUGGAAUCUUGCACACAUGCAAACGGAAAGCAUAAUGUCCGGUCGAGAUGCACAUAAAUAAAGCAAUGAACCAAUCAUCGACCGGUAUACCUUUUGAUCCACGGACUUACCUCCUGUGUCGAGGUCGAGAUGCCCAUUGGUUCUCAUGGGUGUCUUGAUGGGCUUGGCAUCCUUCAUUCCAAACUUGGUUAGAAUGUCUUGAGUGUACUUUGUUUGGCUAAUGAAGGUGCCCUCUUGGAGUUGCUUGACUUGGAAUCCUAGAAAAUACUUCAACUCCCCCAUCAUCGACAUCUCGAAUUUUUGUGUCAUGAUCCUACUAAAUUCUUCACAAGUAGAUUCGUUAGUAGACCCAAAUAUGAUAUCAUCAACAUAAAUUUGGCAUACGAACAAAUCAUUGUCAAAAGUUUUAGUGAACAAAGUAGGAUCGGCCUUGCCGACUUUGAAGCCAUUAGUAAUAAGGAAAUCUCUAAGGCAUUCAUACCAUGCUCUUGGGGCUUGCUUGAGCCCAUAAAGCGCCUUAGAGAGCUUAUAGACAUGGUUAGAAUACUCACUGUCUUCAAAGCCGGGAGGUUGCUCAACGUAGACCUCUUCCUUGAUUGGUCCAUUGAGGAAGGCACUCUUCACGUCCAUUUGGUAAAGCUUGAAGCCAUGGUAAGUAGCAUAGGCCAAUAAUAUACGAAUUGACUCAAGCCUAGCUACGGGUGCAUAGGUUUCACCAAAAUCCAAACCUUCGACUUGUGAAUACCCCUUGGCCACGAGUCGAGCUUUGUUCCUUGUCACCACACCAUGCUCGUCUUGCUUGUUGCGGAAGACCCACUUGGUUCCUACAACAUUUUGAUUAGGACGUGGAACUAAAUGCCAUACCUCGUUCCUCGUGAAAUUGUUGAGCUCCUCUUGCAUCGCCAUCACCCAAUCUGAAUCUUGGAGUGCUUCCUCUACCCUGUGUGGCUCAAUAGAGGAAACAAAAGAGUAAUGCUCACAAAAAUGUGCAACAUGAGAUCGAGUGGUUACCCCCUUAUGAAUGUCGCCAAGAAUGGUGUCGACGGGGUGAUCUCGUUGGAUUGCUUGGUGGACUCUUGGGUGUGGCGGCCUUGGUUGUUCAUCCUCCUUGUCUUCAUCAUUUACAUCUCCCCCUUGAUCAUUGUCGUCAUCUUGAGGUGGCUCAUUUAUUUGAUCUUCCCUUUCAUCAACUUGAGCCUCGUCCUUAUUUUGAGUUGGUGGGGAUGCUUGCAUGGAGGAGGAUGGUUGAUCUUGUGCAUUUGGAGGCUCUUUAGAUUCCUUAGGACAUACAUCCCCAAUGGACAUGUUCCUUAGCGCGAUGCACGGUGCCUGUUCUUCACCUAUCUCAUCAAGAUCAACUUGCUCUACUUGAGAGCCAUUAGUCUCAUCAAACACAACGUCACAAGAAACUUCAACAAGUCCUGAGGACUUGUUAAAGACUCUAUAUGCCCUUGUGUUUGAGUCAUAUCCUAGUAAAAAGCCUUCUACAGUUUUAGGAGCAAAUUUAGAUUUUCUACCUCUCUUAAUAAGAAUAAAGCAUUUGCUACCAAAAACUCUAAAAUAUGAAAUAUUUGGCUUUUUACCGGUUAGGAGUUCAUAGGAUGUCUUCUUGAGGAUUCGGUGUAGAUAUAACCGGUUGAUGGCGUAGCAGGCGGUGUUGACCGCCUUGGCCCAAAACCGAUCCGAUGUCUUGUACUCAUCAAGCAUGGUUCUUGCCAUGUCCAAUAGAGUUCGAUUCUUCCUCUCCACUACACCAUUUUGUUGUGGAGUGUAGGGAGAAGAGAACUCGUGCUUGAUCCCCUCCUCCUCAAGGAAGCCUUCAAUUUGAGAGUUCUUGAACUCCGUCCCGUUGUCGCUUCUAAUUUUCUUGAUCCUCAAGCCGAACUCAUUUUGAGCCCGUCUCAAGAAUCCCUUUAAGGUUUCUUGGGUAUGAGAUUUUUCCUGCAAAAAGAACACCCAAGUGAAGCGAGAAUAAUCAUCCACAAUAACUAGACAGUACUUACUCCCACCGAUGCUUAUGUAAGCGAUCGGGCCGAAUAGGUCCAUGUGUAGGAGCUCCAGUGGCCUGUCACUAGUCAUGAUGUUUUUGUGUGGAUGAUGGGAACCAACUUGCUUUCCUGCUUGGCAUGCGCUACAAAUCCUGUCUUUCUCAAAAUGAACAUUUGUUAGUCCCAAAAUAUGUUCUCCCUUUAGAAGCUUAUGAAGAUUCUUCAUUCCAACGUGGGCUAGUCGGCGAUGCCAGAGCCAACCCAUGUUAGUCUUAGCAAUUAAGCAUGUGUCGAGUUCAGCUCUAUCAAAAUCUACCAAGUAUAGCUGACCCUCUAACACACCCUUAAAUGCUAUUGAAUCAUCACUUCUUCUAAAGACAGUGACACCUACAUCAGUAAAGAGACAAUUGUAGCCCAUUUGACAUAAUUGGGAUACGGAAAGCAAAUUGUAAUCUAAAGAAUCUACAAGAAAAACUUUGGAAAUGGAAUGGUCAGGAGAUAUAGCUAUUUUACCCAAACCUUUGACCAAACCUUGGUUUCCAUCCCCGAAUGUGAUAGCUCGUUGGGGAUCUUGGUUUUUCUCAUAUGAGGAGAACAUCUCUGACCAAACCUUGGUUUCCAUCCCCGAAUGUGAUAGCUCGUUGGGGAUCUUGGUUUUUCUCAUAUGAGGAGAACAUCUUCUUCUCCCAUGUCAUGUGGUUUGUGCACCCGCUGUCGAGUAUCCAACUUGAGCCCCCCGGAUGCGUAAACCUACAAAACAAUUUUAGUUCUUGACUUUAGGUACCCAAACGGUUUUGGGUCCUUUGGCAUUAGAAACAAGAACUUUGGGUACCCAAACACAAGUCUUGGAGCCCUUGUGAUUGCCCCCAAUAAACUUGGCAACUACUUUGCCGGAUUUGUUAGUCAAAACAUAAGAUGCAUCAAAAGUUUUAAAUGAAAUGCUAUGAUCAUUUGAUGCAAUAGGAGUUUUCUUUCUAGGCAACUUAGCACGGGUUGGUUGCCUAGAGCUAGAUGUCUCACCCUUAUACAUAAAAGCAUGGUUAGAGCCAGAGUGAGACUUCCUAGAAUGAGUUCUCCUAAUUUUGCUCUCGGGAUAACCGGCAGGGUACAAAAUGUAACCCUCGUUAUCCUGAGGCAUGGGAGCCUUGCCCUUAACAAAGUUAGACAAGUUCUUAGGAGGGGCAUUAAGUUUAACAUUGUCUCCCCUUUGGAAUCCAAUGCCAUCCUUGAUGCCAGGGCGUCUCCCAUUAUAGAGCAUACUUCUAGCAAAUUUAAAUUUUUCAUUUUCUAAGUUUUGCUCGGCAAUUUUAGCAUCUAAUAGUGCUAUAUGAUCAUUUUGUUGUUUAAUUAAGACCAUAUGAGCAUGAAUAGCAUCAACAUCAAUAUCUCUACAUCUAGUACAAAUAGAAACACGCUCAACCUUAGAUGUAGAGGGUUUGCAAGAUUUUAAUUCAACAACCUUAGCAUGUAAUACAUCAUUCUCACUUCUAAGGUUGGAAAUAGUAACAUUGCAAACAUCAAAAUCUUUAGCCUUAGCAAUCAAAUUUUCAUUUUCUAUUCUAAGGCUAGCAAGAGAAUCAUUCAAUUCCUUAAUCUUAGCAAGCAAAUCAUCAUUAUCAUUACUAAGAUUGGGAAUUGAGGCAUUACAAACAUGUGAAUCAACCUUAGCAAUCAAUUUAGCAUUUUCACUUCUAAGGUUGGCAAUAGUGUCAUGGCAUGUGCUUAGCUCACUAGAUAAUUUGUCACAUUUUUCUACCUCUAGAGCAUAAGCAUUUUUAACCUUAACAUGUUUUUUGUUUUCCUUAAUAAGGAAGUCUUCUUGAGAGUCCAAGAGAUCAUCCUUCUCAUGAAUAGCACUAAUUAGUUCAUUUAAUUUUUCCUUUUGUUGCAUGUUAAGAUCGGCAAAAAGGGUACGCAAAUUAUUCUCCUCAUCACUAGCAUUAUCAUCACUAGAGGAUUCAUAUUUAGUGGAGGAUUUAGAUUUAACCUUCUUCUUUUUGCCGUCCUUUGCCAUGAGGCACUUGUGGCCGACGUUGGGGAAGAGGAGUCCCUUGGUGACGGCGAUGUUGGCGGCGUCCUCGUCGGAGGAGGACUCGGUGGAGCUCUCGUCGGAGUCCCACUCCCGGCAAACAUGGGCAUCGCCGCCCUUCUUCUUGUAGUACUUCUUCUUUUCUCUCCUCUUUCCCUUCUUGUCGUCGCCCCUGUCACUGUCACUAGAUAUAGGACAUUUUGCAAUAAAAUGACCGGGCUUACCACACUUGUAGCACACUUUCUUGGAGCGGGGUUUGUAGUCCUUCCCCCUCCGUUGCUUGAGGAUUUGGCGAAAGCUUUUGAUGAUUAAAGCCAUCUCCUCAUUGUCGAGCUUGGAGGCGUCAAUUGGUUGUCUACUUGGUGUAGACUCCUCCUUCUUUUCCUCCGUCGCCUUAAAUGCCACCGGUUGCGCCUCGGACGUGGAGGGUUCGUCAAGCUCGUUGAUCUUCUUUGAGCCUUUAAUCAUGCAUUCAAAGCUCACAAAAUUCCCGAUAACUUCCUCGGGAGUCAUUAGUGUGUAUCUAGGAUUACCACGAAUUAAUUGAACUUGAGUAGGGUUAAGGAAAAUAAGUGAUCUCAAAAUAACCUUAACUACUUCGUGGUCAUCCCAUUUCUUGCUCCCGAGGUUGCGCACUUGGUUCACCAAGGUUUUGAGCCGGUUGUACAUAUCUUGUGGCUCCUCCCCUUGGCGAAGACGGAAGCGACCGAGCUCCCCCUCGAUCGUUUCCCGCUUGGUGAUCUUGGUGAGUUCAUCACCCUCGUGCGCGGUCUUGAGUAGGUCCCAAAUCUCCUUUGCAUUCUUCAACCCUUGCACCUUGUUGUAUUCCUCCUUGCUUAGAGAGGCGAGGAGUAUGGUUGUAGCUUGUGAGUUGAAGUGCUCGAUUUAGGCCACUUCGUCCGUAUCAUAGUCUUCAUCCCCUACGGAUGGUACCUGUGCUCCAAACUCAACAACAUUCCAUAUACUUUUGUGGAGUGAGGUUAGAUGAAAUUUCAUUAAAUCACUCCACCUAGCAUAAUCUUCGCCAUCAAAAGUUGGCGGUUUGCCUAAUGGAACGGAAAGUAAAGGAGUAUGUCUAGAUGUACGAGGAUAGUGUAAGGGGAUCUUACUAAACUUCUUGCGCUCUUGGCGCUUAGAAGUUACGGACGGCGCAUCAGAGUCGGAGGUAGAUGUUGAUGAAGUGUCGGUCUCGUAGUAGACCACUUUCCUCAUCCUCUUGUGCUUGUCGCCUUUCCGAUGCGACUUGUGGGAAGAAGAUUUUUCCUUCUUCUCUUUGUGGUGAGAAGAAGAAGAUCUUUUCUCCUUCCGCUUGGAGGAGUUCUUCUUCUUCUCCUUCCUCUUGGUGUGGGACUCUUCCGAUGAAGUGCUCCCUUGGCUCGUAGUGGGCUUGUCGCCGGUCUACAUCUCCCUCUUGGUGUGAUCUCCCGACAUCACUUCGAGCGGUUAGGCUCUAAUGAAGCACUGGGUUCUGAUACCAAUUGAAAGUCGCCUAGAGGGGGGGUGAAUAGGGCGAAACUAAAAUUCUCAAAAAUAAUCACAACUACAAGCCGGGUUAGCGUUAGAAAUAUGAUAGAGUCCGCGAGAGAGGGUGCAAAACAAAUCGCAAGCGAAUAAUGAAGUGAGACACGCGGAUUUGUUUUACCGAGGUUCGGUUCUCUCAAACCUACUCCCCGUUGAGGAGGCCACAAAGGCCGGGUCUCUUUCAACCCUUCCCUCUCUCAAACGGUCCCUCGGACCGAGUGAGCUUCUCUUCUCAAAUCACAUGGGAAUCAAAACUUCCCGCAAGGACCACCACACACUUGGUGUCUCUUGCCUCAAUUACAAGUGAGUGUUUGAUCACAAGAAAGAAUGACAAAGAAAAGAAGCGAUCCAAGUGCAAGAGCUCAAAUGAACACUACAAAUCACUCUCACUAGUCACUAAGGCUUUGUGUGGAGUUGAGAGAGGAUUUGAUCCUUUUUGGUGUGCUUUGCAAUGAAUGAUAGCUCCUGUAUAGUGGUUGGAAGCUGGAAAACUUGGAUACAAUGAAUGGUGAGGUGGUUGGGGUAUUUAUAGCCUCAACCACCAAACUAGCCGUUUGCAGAGGCUGUCUGUUCGAUGGCGCACCGGACAGUCCGGUGCACACCGGACAUGUCCGGUGCGACAGCCACGUCACCAAAAGCCGUUGGGUUCGACCGUUGGAGCUCUGUCUUCUGGGCCCGCCUUGAUGUCCGGUGGCGCACCGGACAUGUACUGUAGAGUGUCCGGUGCGCCAGCAUGGGCGUGCCUGACCUCUGCGCGCGCUGGUGCACAUUUAUUACGUCGCAGGUAGCCGUUGGCGCCUGAAGUAGCCGUUACCCCGCUGUUGCACCGGACAGUCCGGUGUACACCGGACAGUCCGGUGAAUUAUAGCGGAGUGGCCGAAGUGAAUUCUCGAGACUGGCGAGUUCCGGAGGCCGCUCUUCCUUGGAGCACCGGACACUGUCCGGUGUACACCGGACAGUCCGAUGAAUUAUAGCGGAGUCGCCUCUGGAAUUUCCUGAAGGUGAGCAGUUCGGAGUUGGAGUCCUCUGGUGCACCGGACAUGUCCGGUGGCACACCGGACAGUCCGGUGCGCCAGACCAGAGGUGCCUUCGGUUGACCCUUGUUCCUUUGUUUGAACCCAAUACUUGGUCUUUUUAUUGGCUAAGUGUGAACCUUUGGCACCUGUAUAACUUAUAUACUUGAGCAAACUAGUUAGUCUAAAUAUUUGUGUUGGGCAAUUCAACCACCAAAAUUAAUUAGGGACUAGGUGUAAGCCUAAUUCCCUUUCAGAGCCAAAGCCGGAGGUAGCGGCGUCAGCACGGACAGAGGCAGAGUUGGCUCAAAAAGAGGAUUUGGUCGGUCGGAGCCUGGCCGGGUCGUCCACUGGCGGGACCGACGCCGGAGUUGAGUUACCGAGGCCACAAACCGAGCUGAUGUCCUCGGGGGACAGCUGGCUAAGGCUUCGGGGUGACCGGCCCGAGCCAUCUGCUCGAGUCGGAUUCCUGGAGAAGGCCCUGGCAGCGAUGGCCCGGGCGUGGUGCUGAUGUCGUCCUUCAGAGUGGAGAUCCUCCGACCGCGUCGCCGUCUGAGGCUAGGUCGGGCCUCGCCGAAGGUGUAGUUGACACCGAGGGUGCUGCUGCUCCCUUCACUGUCAAGAUCCGAGCCUGCAGGAUCGGAUUAUCUUGUAGUGUGUGUAUGUUUUCCGCGGCCGCCGAGGCCCAAACACACCAUCAUCGUGUUGUAAAGCUGCGUUUCUUUUCCCCUUAUUUCGAGUAUCUGGACUUAUUUAUCGGUAACAGAAUUUGUUUGUGCGAGCGAGAGUUACUUUUCACGGAAGGUGAUGAGUGAGGUAUCCGUAUCUCAGAGGCGUAGGAAUCCCUCGGCUCGGUCGGCCUUGCCGCUUACGCGCACUCUUACUCGUCCAUAGGGUUCUGUCACCGACGUAGUCGAGAAGGCCCGAAAAAUCAUUUCGGCAGAGGAGCUUUCGAGCGUGAAGACUUGUUCGGUCCGCGGAAUCACCUAUCCGAGCGCGAGUUACUUAUCGCAGAAGGUGAUGAGUGAGGUAUCCGUAUCCUGGAGGCGUAGGAGUCCCUCGGCUCGGUCAGCCUUGACUGCUUACGUGUACUCCGUCGUUUUCAGGAUCCACUUUCGGAGUAACCGAAAAGCACGAAAGACAUUCUGGCGGAAAAGAUCUUUUUCCGAGGAAAAUUUUGAUGCAGAGGGGGUUCCCCCCUUUUAGCCCCCGAGGGAGGGUCGGGCUUUGCCGAGGCAAGGCUGACCCUUCCUUGAUGACUAAACUUUGCGUGGGAACGAGGUAUACGAACAACUUGAAAGCAUCUUAAGGGUAGAAGUGACGUAGCUGUUGUAUGUUCCAAGCGUUGUUGUAGACCUCGCCUUGACUGUUGGCCAGCUUGUAUGUUCCGAGCUUCAGAACCUUGGUGACGACGAACGACCCUUCCCAGGGAGGCGUGAGCUUGUGCCGCCCUCGGGCGUCUUGUCGCAGCCGAAGCACCAGGUCGCCCACCUGAAGGUCUCGGGACCGAACCCCUCGGGCGUGGUAGCGUCGCAGGGACUGCUGGUACCGCGUCGAGUGUAGUAAGGCCAUGUCCUGAGCCUCUUCCAGCUGGUCCAGUGAGUCUUCUCGAUUAGCUUGAUUGCUUUGGUCAGCGUAGGCCCUCGUCCUCAGGGAACCGUAUUCUAAGUCUGUGGGCAAGACGGCUUUGGCCCCAUAGACUAGAAAGAACGGUGUGAAGCCCGUGGCUCGGCUCGGCGUUGUCCUCAAACUCCAGACCUCUGAGGGGAGUUCCUUCAUCCAUCGCUUGCCGAACUUGUUGAGGUCGUUGUAGAUCUGCGGCUUGAGUCCUUGCAGGAUCAUGCUGUUGGCACGCUCUACUUGCCCAUUCGUCAUGGGGUGAGCCACGGCGGCCCACUCUACCCGGAUGUGGUGAUCCUCGCAGAAGUCUAGGAACUUUCUGCCGGUGAACUGGGUGCCGUUGUCGGUGAUGAUGGAGUUCGGGACCCCAAAGCUGUGACAGAACCUCCCAAGUAAUUAGGCCCACCUACAGUUGUCCUUGUCCAACGGACAUCAGACAACCCUGUAGGUGCCCCUGAACUACUUGACAAGCUCGGUAUCUUUCCUUACCUUACCAGGAACGUCUCACCCGUCUUGCAGACAUUACAGAACAUCGGAGAUAUGCGGAAGCAGUUACAUAAACUUACAUUUAUUUCAAAAGCAAGCUUGAGUUAUGUUAUUACAGACCAGACUAAACGUGAGUGCAGAGUAGUAAUAUUAUACAAACCAGGGGAGGCACAAACUCCUCCCGAUAAGUUUAACAAAAGAUCCUAAGUGGAGGACCGAAUCCUCCCGCACUUCAGUCUUCUUUUUCCUCGUUUGAUACCACCUUGGAGCAGAAGCAACAAAAGUUUGUCGCUUCCUCACCUAAAAACAACAAAGGGAUAAACCCUGAGUAUGGAAUACUCAGCAAGUCUUACCCGACUAAGGAAAAGACUCUCAAGGGUAUGCUGGAUAAGUAGGAGUCAAGGAGAGGCUUUAGCAAAAAUCAACUUAUAGUUUUGCAGAAGAAGCUUACUAAAGUGAGUCCUUACUUUCCAUCUUUUAAUGCCAUCUUAAGUAUUAAUAGACUCUAUUUGCAUCUAGUCUAAUUUCACAUCCAAUCAAGACAACAUUAGUUUUAUCCAUAGUGUUCACAUCCUGACUGUAGGUUGUAGAAAAGUGACCAAGUCUUCAUAACCGCGAAGGUACGGCGAUCCGAAUCGAUUAUACUCAGCUGAGGAUCUCCAAUCACACGACAUAUGUAGCACUUAACCCUUGCAUAUGUCAACCCGCCACCGGGGUUCUUAAGACCGGAUCAGGUUCACGCAAACCGAGAGCACAGAUACACCACCGUCCAGCCUCUUGCCACGGAGGGUACACGCUACUCUCGCCACCGCUCCACGCCCAUUUCGUGUUAUCUUAUUCCGACCUUAGUCUGCCCGAGGCAAGGCUUACCCAUGACGAGGCAUGUGACCAGUUAAAGGGUCCUCGGUCAGCACGCCUACAUACGCGUUAAUCCUUAACCAACUUGGGUAGAACAUCACCUGUUCCUAACCCAAGUCUCAAUUUAAGUAUUUCCAUCCUUAGGAUUGUGUCUGUUCCUUAGGAUGAAAGAGCAUCACAGGGAACUUUGCAGUAAGAUCCCACUUUUGCUCCAAAUGAAAAUAUUCUUGCAGGUAGAAGCCAUCCUCUCCAUGGUUAAAUUGAGGACAACUUCUAUCCACAAGAUCUAAGCAAGUCUAAGCAUUUUUGUAAAUCAUAUUUUGAUACUUCACAGAAGUAUCUAUAAAGGUAUGGAUAUCAAGGAAAGCAAUGCAUCAAAGGGUUUCAAGUAACUCCUAUGAACCUAAUGCACAUUUCACUAGACUUAAGUGUGCAAAAAGUAUUUAAAAACACAAGGAAAGGGGUGGCAUGCACCGGGGCUUGCCUUCGUUCACAGGUGAAUCAGGCUCAGAUCCACAGAUGUCAAAGUAGAAAUGAUUCCCGGCCUAAGACUCCGAAGGUGGUGGUGUCUCCUCUUCGGUAACUUCGAUUUCUUCCUCACGUUCUAAUCAUAACCAUACAUAUGUAUAAGAAUGGAUGCCAUGGGAUGCUCAUGAGGAUGCAAAGAUAGCAUAAACUUAUUAUUUAUGUCUUGAAUACAACUUUCCUUCACGGAGUUCCGGAGUCGGUAAAGGAGUUCAUAGGGCGGGGGGGGGGGGGGUGUUUUGGGGUUUGGUGAUCAAACAAGGUCCAAAUCAAUUCAAACUCUACCCAAGGCUUCUAAAUAGUGUAUAACACUCAUAUAAAAAUUUUGGGCAUUUUUGGACUUACCAAUUAUUUUCUAAAAAUCUAUAACCAACAUUUUUAACCACUUUAAAUACCCUAAAUUUUCUUACUUCCACUAAAAAUCACAAACUUAUUUUUAUUAAAUACUAUGGAAAAUAACAAACCUAGGAAAAUUAGUCUCAUAUUUUUAGGAUUUUUCUAAAUUUUUCUAUAAUUAUUUUGGCUCUGCUGUAAAAGAAAAAAGGAAAAUAUUCCAACAGUGAUGGGCCAGAUUCAGCCCAGCGGCCCAGUUCCAGAGGGAAAGCGCGCCCGUGCGCCCUGACGGUUUUGCAGAACGACCCCCGCGUUUUUAUCUAACAGCGAACGAGCCCUUUCACUAUUCCUGUGUGUCGCUGACCGAUCACAAAAAGGCCCCUGCGUUUCUUUCUAUUUCCGAUUGGAAGUCCACGACAGCGCUCGCGCACCGCCGUGCUCCGACGAGCAAGCAGAUCGGCCAGAAGGGACAACGGCUAGGGUUUUUGAGCAGCAGACACCAAAUUCAAGUCCUAAGGACUCUUUCCCCCCAAUCAAUUUCAUGCUUGGUGAUCUGCCAAGCUCUACCCGCGAGGACAGUGCACGGCGCGGAUAGGUGUUCGUGUUCCAAUCAAUUCAUGGCAGUUAAAUUCAAUUGGAUGGUUUGGAAAGCAUCAAGGACACACGAGAAUGUUAGAACAAGCAACAGAGCAACAUGAACUGACCUAAUUUGGGCUGGCCACGGUGAGACUUGUUUCACGGUGGCGGAGAGCGAGGUUGGGGGAAAUUCCGAAUUCGAGCAGAUGAGUGGAUGAUUGUGGCUGAUUAGCGGUGGUUAGCUAGCGAACUACCCCACGGAGCUAGACACGGGCUCAAUUUAUAGGAAGGAUGGGCGGUGGGCGCGAAUUUGGACGAGACACGCGGCGGUCGGAGGUGAAGAAGAAGCACUGGCCGCGUGAGUUCGUGGCCAACGGCGUGGCAGUAACUCCGGUGAGCCACGGAGACUUCAGAGGAGGUCACGGCGACACGGUAAAAGAGUUGAGCCACGCGGCGCACGGCCGGGAGGCGGCGGUCGACGGUGAACAUAUCCACAUCCACCGCGGUAAUGAUGGUACGGUGGCCGGAGUUGUUUAAUGGCCGAAGUUUAUCCCCGGCGGUGACCUCCAAGCGUUAUCCACACGGUCCGCACGAAUCACAGCAACGGAUCGACCACCGGCGACGACCUACCAGCGACGAGCCCGCCGCGCUGGCAACCUGAUCCACUCGGGUCUACUAGUACCAUGGCAAUCCUCAUUCAGAGCACCUGACAGCCGGAGUUGAGGGUCGAUUUUCUCCAAAUUUCACUUGGCGACUCACCCAAGUAUCUGCAUCAAAGUUGUAGUGCUACUUACCAACUACAAUUCGACUAUAGGGGCUACACUUAUUUGAGCACUGGAUCAAGGUCAAACUGGCUCUCAAACUUGGGUCUAGGCCACUGUUAGUCUGAAAUUCAGACAAUACUAGCCUGACAGCCUGACUUCAGGCUUAAUUACCUCCAAAAUUUUCUUAACAACUGUGCUCACACCUUUUAGCAAAGUUGUACUCCUAUAGUUGGGCUACAAUCUUGAUGUGGUGACCUAGGGCAAAAACCCUAUAAUUUGAAAGUGACAAAGCCCCAAAGUGGAGCCUUUAACACUAAAUUUCAGACUUGGUAUAGAACUCAAAUGAGGUCCAUUUUGCAUUUAAGUCCAAAACUUAGGGUUUGGCUUGUAAAUUCACAUAUUUGUGAACCAAAUGACUUUAUAUGUCAAAACAUAGUAGUUUUUACACUUUAGUCCAAAGGUUCAUCAUUUUUGCACAUAAGUCCCUAGGGUUUGGUUUUAGGGUUUUCUAGGGUUCCAAUUAGGGUUUCUGGUAUCUCAGGGGUACAAAAGUGAUUCAAGUUUAUUCUUAGGGUCAUUUUAUGACUUUUACCCUAAAGCUUUUUAGGUUUUCUUAACUUGGGUUAAGUUUUACCCCUUUAACCACUAUUUAGGGUUAAGUCCAUUAACCAGGGUUCCAUUUGCAAAAACAUUAAAACAAUACAACUUGUUUGAAAUUUUUGCCUAGUGAAUGCACUCUAGGUGUGUCACACAUAUGCAAUGCCAAUGCUAAUGAUGUCAUGCUCAAGUUUUAUUUAUAGUAACACCAGGGGUGUUACAUCCUUCCCCCCAUAAAAGAAUCUCGUCCCGAGAUUAAAAUCCUAGGGUAGGUAAUGGUAAAGGAAACACAUCACAUUUUUAUUUCCUUAAUUUUGGUACAAGGCAGGGGUAAUGUGGGGGUUACUUCUUUAUUACAACAGCUAUACAGGCUUUACAAUUUACAUGAGGCUAGAAAGCCUGGGAAAUUCUUAUCUAAAAAGUCUUGGGUUUCCCAUGUAGCCUCAUCUUCCGAAUGCUGGUUCCACUGUAUCUUGUAGAACUUAAGAGUCUUUCUUCGGGUGACCCUAUCCUUUUGAUCCAGAACUCGAAUAGGAUGCUCCGAGUAUGUUAAAUCUGGUUCCAGGACAACAUCAGUCACUUCAACGGUUCGAUCGGGAACCCGAAGACACUUCUUCAAUUGUGACACGUGGAACACAUUAUGCACAGUAGACAAGGUUUCGGGGAGCUGAAGUCGGUAUGCCACUGGUUCACAUUGCUCAAGCACCAGGAAUGGACCAAUGUAUCUGGGUGCAAGUUUCCCUUUUACCCCGAAACGCGAUACACCCUUCAUUGGUGAAACUUUUAAGUAGACAUAAUCGUCUACCAGAAAGCAUAAGGGUUGUCGUCGUCGGUCUGCAUAAUUCUUUUGUCGAGUCUGAGCUUUCUUCAUAUUAUGGAUAAUUCUCUGAACCUUUUCUUCGACCUCUUUCACCAUAUCAGGUCUAAAGAAGUAUCUUUCUCCAGGUUCAGACCAAUUUAGCGGAGUUCGACACCGUCGUCCAUAUAAAGCUUCAAAAGGUGCCAUCUUGAUACUUUCUUGAUAACUAUUAUUGUAUGAAAACUCCGCUAGGGGCAAACAUUCAUCCCAUUUUUGCGAGAAGUCCAGGACACAUGCCCGCAGCAUAUCUUCAAGUAUUUGGUUCACCCUCUCAGUCUGCCCACUGGUUUGAGGAUGAUAAGCCGAACUGUGGAGUAAUUUAGUACCCAAGGAGUUGUGAAGUGCUUCCCAGAACUUGGCUACAAAUUGAGGUCCACGAUCCGACACAAUGGUCUUCGGAACACCAUGCAGACUGAGAAUACAGGCAAUGUAUAAUGCUGCAUAAGUGGCUACUGUAUAUGUGACCUUGACAGGUAAGAAGUGGGCAAUCUUUGUGAGUCGAUCAACGAUAACCCAAAUAGAAUCAUACCCUUUGGCUGUCCUGGGCAGUCCCACAAUAAAGUCCAUACUGAUGUCUUCCCAUUUCCAUGUUGGGAUUGGCAAAGAUUGUAAUGGACCAGCAGUUUUCAUGUGUAUGGCCUUGACACGUCUGCAAGUGUCACACUUCGCCACAUAGCGUGCAAUUUCGAUUUUCAUCUUUGUCCACCAAUAAUGUUGCUUUAAGUCUUGAUACAUCUUAGUGCUUCCGGGAUGAAUAGAAUAGCGACUAAGAUGUGCCUCAUCAAGAAUUUGCUGGCGGAGUUCUUCGUUCUUUGGCACUACUAUGCGGUUUUUAAACCAUAUCACACCUUGAUCGUCUUCCUUGAAACACUUGGCUACUCCAGCCUUUAUCUUCUCUCGAAUGUGCUUCAUACCCAGAUUAUCCUUUUGAGCAUCAAUUAUUCUUUGCAAAAUGAUUGACUCAAGCUUUAGUUGAUUUAGAGUCCCUUGUUGGAUGAUCCCUAGGUUUAGCUUUUCCAUUUCUUGACACAAAGUGUUCUCGGAGGUCUUUGCCAUAAGACAGUGGCAGGAAGUCUUACGACUCAAUGCAUCUGCCACCACAUUGGCCUUGCCUGGGUGAUAAUGGAUCUCCAGUUCAUAGUCUUUAAUGAGCUCAAGCCAUCGUCUUUGCCUCAUAUUUAACUCUGACUGGGUGAAGAUGUACUUCAAACUUUUAUGAUCUGUAUAUAUGUGACAGAUAUUUCCCAGCAGAUAGUGACGCCAAAUCUUUAGGGCAUGAACCACAGCAGCUAGCUCCAGAUCAUGAGUUGGAUAGUGCUCCUCAUGUCGGCGCAACUGCCUUGAAGCAUACGCAAUCACUCGGUCCUCUUGCAUCAGUACACAGCCGAGCCCACUGCCAGAUGCAUCACAAUAUACGUCAAAAGGUUUAGUGAUGUCCGGUUGAGCCAAUACCGGAGCAGUGGUCAAUAGUGUCUUCAGUUGCUCAAAGGCUUCAUUACACUUAGAAGACCAAUUGAACUUAAUGUCAUUCUUCAAUAAACUUGUGAUUGGCUUCACAAGCUUAGAGAAAUCUGGUAUGAAUCUGCGAUAAUACCCAGCUAGUCCAAGAAAACUCCGGACUUGGUGAACAGUGGUUGGAGGUUUCCACUCCAGAAUAUCUUUGACCUUGCUAGGAUCUACCGCAAUUCCUUUAGCUGAUAACACGUGCCCCAAAAAUUGAAUUUCUUCCAGCCAGAACGCGCACUUGCUGAACUUGGCAUAUAGUUGGUGUUCCCUUAGGCGCGUCAAUACAAUCCGUAAAUGCUGAGCAUGGUCUUCUUCAUUCUUGGAAUAUAUCAAGAUAUCGUCGAUGAAGACUACCACGAACUUGUCCAAUUCGGGCAUGAACACCGAGUUCAUUAAAUAAGUGAAGUGGGCAGGAGCAUUUGUGAGCCCGAAAGACAUUACCAAGUAUUCAAACAAUCCAUACCGCGUAGUAAACGCGGUUUUCGGUAUAUCCUCGGGCCGAAUACGGAUUUGAUGAUAGCCCGACCUGAGAUCAAUUUUGGAAAAUACCCUCGCCCCAGUCAGCUGAUCAAAUAAGAUGUCGAUCCUUGGAAGAGGGUACUUAUUCUUGAUAGUGACCUCAUUUAGGGGUCGAUAAUCCACGCACAUUCGCAAGGUUUGAUCCUUCUUCUUAACAAAAAUGGCGGGACAACCCCACGGGGACGAGCUUGGCCGGAUGAAUCCCUUAUUCAAUAGAUCUUGUAAUUGAAUCUUUAAUUCCGCCAAUUCAUUAGGGGGCAUACGGUACGACCUUCGGGAGAUGGGAGCCGUACCGGGCUUUAGCUCAAUUACGAAUUCUACAUCUCUUUUAGGGGGCAGUCCAGGCAAAUCUUCCGGAAAUACAUCUGGAAACUCACAUACUACCGGAAUGUUCUUGAUCUCUGGUACAAUGGCUUCAUAGACUCUACCAGAAGUUUUGGCUGGAUUGGUUGCGGGGAGAGUCAAAAGAAUCUCUUCUUGGUUAUAGCUCAACCUGACGGUCCUGAGUUCAGUGUUGAGAAUUGCCUUGUGUUGGGUUAACCAAUUCAUACCCAAGAUUACAUCUAUAUCCUGGCCCUUCAGAACAAUCAUGUUAGCAGGAAAGUUCCGUCCGGCCAUUGUUAUUGGCACUCCAUAGGCCACUUCUUUAGUAUAAAUGUGUCCCCCAGGUGAAUGAAUUUUAAAUCCCUCCUUUGAUUCAUGGUAUGCAAUAUGAUAUUGUUCCACAAACUUCUUGCUAAUAAAUGUAUGUGAAGCACCAGAAUCAAAAAGAAUAAUUGCUGGGUGACUGGCCACGGGAAACGUACCCAUCAUCACCGGCUCUCCUUCCGGUGUAGUAGCCACUUGAGUGUAAUAUAUACGCCCUGUCUUCUUCGUAUUUUUCCCCAUAGCAUUUCCUUUAGGCUGAGCUAAUUUCCCAGAUCCUUGCGAAGCAUUAGAUUGAUUUUGCCUAGGAUAUGGGCAGUCUUUGAUGAAGUGUCCCGACUUGCCGCAAUUAAAACACCCAGUUGAAGAACUAGGCAAGGCAGGAAAUCAAGUGCCUAGGGCACCCGGCUGUUUUGGGGUAGUGGGGGCAUUGUUGGGGCGGAUAAUGAUUGGCUGUUUGAAGGGAAAUGAAGGUGGACGAGAAAAAGGGCGAUUUUGGCUUGAAGGUCGGAUCACAAACCGUGGUUUCUUCGCCUGGCCCUGACUAGGCCUCUCACCACCGAAUCCCUUAUUCUUCCCAGAAUUUGUGUAUUUGGCUUCAACAGAUAAGGCUGUGCUGACAGCCUUUCCAUACGUGAGAUCUAUGCAUGUGGCCAUUUUCCUUUGUAGCCGAUCAUUCAGUCCCCGCAUAAAACAGUUCUUCUUCUUUAAAUCCGUAUUCACCUGGUCAAUGGCAUACUGCGAUAGGUGAUUGAAUUUGUUGAGAUAUUGGUUGACGGUAUCUCCACCUUGUUGUAACUUCAUAAACUCCUCUUGUUUCAUAUGUAGCACUCCUUCGGGGAUGUAGUGUUCACGGAAGGCUGCUUUAAACUCAUCCCAAGUGACUUGAUGGUUGACAGGUUGGAUAGCCACAAAAUUUCCCCACCAGGUACUGGCAGGACCACGGAGUUGUUGUGCGGCGAAUAACGGCUUCUGCGUUUCUGAGCAACGGAGAAGACCAAACUUUUGCUCAAUAACCCGAAUCCACUCGUCAGCUUCUAGGGGAUCUUCUGCCUUGACGAAUAGAGGUGGACGGGUUUCCGAGAAAUCCAGAUAGGUGGUCUCAUGAGGGCCUUGCGGAAAACCCCUUCCUGCUUGCUGCUGGAAUUGCUGCUGACCCGCCAUUUCCCUAAGGAAGCGGGUAUUGUCCGCGGUGGCAUUCACCAAGGCGGCGAUCGCCUCGGCUAACGUGGGAGGAACUGGAGGUGGGUUUGGGGUAACAUCCCGUCCCCCAGAAGUUCCUGCUGCGUCCUGUCCUCGAGUCCUGGUCGGCAUCUGUGGCAAAAACAUUUGAAGUAAACAAAAUGUGCCAGAGAAAACCUUCCAUUAUACAUUACUAUAAAAAGUAAUGAUACAGACUCGAUAUUACAUAACAGGAUACAAUACCCAUUAUACAAAAGUUCAACCUAUUAUACAACAGUACACCCUACAAUACCCUACCAUACACUACUCUACUUCUAUUACACCUUUAUUCCUUCUUGCCAUUACUCUUGGCGGCUUCAUCGUCAGGUGUGGGAGUCCAGACAUCAACCAACCUCAAAGAAGGAGGGGGCUCAAAAAGGUCUAACUCCCCACCCAGCGCACGUCCCGCAACGUGAGAUGGUCCAGCUUCCGCCUCAGCAGGUUGUGCAGGCUCACUUGGGUGUAGUUGUGAGUAUAGUAUAUGGACUUCCUCGUGCAACGUGUUGCAGUAAACCUGCAGGUUAUCAACAGUCGAGCUAAGUUCUUUAACUCGGGCCUGAGCCCUUGUUUCCUUAGCACACAUUAGCAAACGAGACUGUACGGCCCAGUCAAGUGCUAAGUCUCGAUCAGCGAGUUGAUCCUGCAAGUGUCGGAUGUCCCUUCUCAGUUCGUUGAUUCUAUCUCCGUCGGCGACCCAAGCAUCAGUCCUAUGUUGCAGCACCGCUUGAAGUCGACUCACCCGGGCUUCAAGGUCUCCGAUGGGGUCGUUACUUCCACUGCUGCUGCUUUCAUGUCGGGGAGCCAAUUGAUGCCGAGGCACCCCAAUUGGUCCCGUAGACUUGCGUGCCGUUAGCCUGGUGCGUGGCGGCAUCUUUUCUAAGGGGGAAAAUGUUAUUAGUAAGAUUCUUAGCAUGAUGCAUGUAUAAUUACAGAAUCAACCUUAGUCAAUUCAACCUUCUAUAUGUUGCACUCUUCCUAUCUGGUCUUUAAAAUAGACUCUUCAGAAUACUUAGGUAAGAAGAGAAAAGAAUUUUUAGGUAAGACUUUUGAAAAUCCUUUUGAAGAUGCCUCAUAAUAUCUGCAAAGAAGGGCUACGCUCCGAUACCAGCUGUGACAGAACCUCCCAAGUAAUUAGGCCCACCUACAGUUGUCCUUGUCCAACGGACAUCAGACAACCCUGUAGGUGCCCCUGAACUACUUGACAAGCUCGGUAUCUUUCCUUACCUUACCAGGAACGUCUCACCCGUCUUGCAGACAUUACAGAACAUCGGAGAUAUGCGGAAGCAGUUACAUAAACUUACAUUUAUUUCAAAAGCAAGCUUGAGUUAUGUUAUUACAGACCAGACUAAACGUGAGUGCAGAGUAGUAAUAUUAUACAAACCAGGGGAGGCACAAACUCCUCCCGAUAAGUUUAACAAAAGAUCCUAAGUGGAGGACCGAAUCCUCCCGCACUUCAGUCUUCUUUUUCCUCGUUUGAUACCACCUUGGAGCAGAAGCAACAAAAGUUUGUCGCUUCCUCACCUAAAAACAACAAAGGGAUAAACCCUGAGUAUGGAAUACUCAGCAAGUCUUACCCGACUAAGGAAAAGACUCUCAAGGGUAUGCUGGAUAAGUAGGAGUCAAGGAGAGGCUUUAGCAAAAAUCAACUUAUAGUUUUGCAGAAGAAGCUUACUAAAGUGAGUCCUUACUUUCCAUCUUUUAAUGCCAUCUUAAGUAUUAAUAGACUCUAUUUGCAUCUAGUCUAAUUUCACAUCCAAUCAAGACAACAUUAGUUUUAUCCAUAGUGUUCACAUCCUGACUGUAGGUUGUAGAAAAGUGACCAAGUCUUCAUAACCGCGAAGGUACGGCGAUCCGAAUCGAUUAUACUCAGCUGAGGAUCUCCAAUCACACGACAUAUGUAGCACUUAACCCUUGCAUAUGUCAACCCGCCACCGGGGUUCUUAAGACCGGAUCAGGUUCAUGCAAACCGAGAGCACAGAUACACCACCGUCCAGCCUCUUGCCACGGAGGGUACACGCUACUCUCGCCACCGCUCCACGCCCAUUUCGUGUUAUCUUAUUCCGGCCUUAGUCUGCCCGAGGCAAGGCUUACCCAUGACGAGGCAUGUGACCAGUUAAAGGGUCCUCGGUCAGCACGCCUACAUACGCGUUAAUCCUUAACCAACUUGGGUAGAACAUCACCUGUUCCUAACCCAAGUCUCAAUUUAAGUAUUUCCAUCCUUAGGAUUGUGUCUGUUCCUUAGAAUGAAAGAGCAUCACAGGGAACUUUGCAGUAAGAUCCCACUUUUGCUCCAAAUGAAAAUAUUCUUGCAGGUAGAAGCCAUCCUCUCCAUGGUUAAAUUGAGGACAACUUCUAUCCACAAGAUCUAAGCAAGUCUAAGCAUUUUUGUAAAUCAUAUUUUGAUACUUCACAGAAGUAUCUAUAAAGGUAUGGAUAUCAAGGAAAGCAAUGCAUCAAAGGGUUUCAAGUAACUCCUAUGAACCUAAUGCACAUUUCACUAGACUUAAGUGUGCAAAAAGUAUUUAAAAACAUAAGGAAAGGGGUGGCAUGCACCGGGGCUUGCCUUCGUUCACAGGUGAAUCAGGCUCAGAUCCACAGAUGUCAAAGUAGAAAUGAUUCCCGGCCUGAGACUCCGAAGGUGGUGGUGUCUCCUCUUCGGUAACUUCGAUUUCUUCCUCACGUUCUAAUCAUAACCAUACAUAUGUAUAAGAAUGGAUGCCAUGGGAUGCUCAUGAGGAUGCAAAGAUAGCAUAAACUUAUUAUUUAUGUCUUGAAUACAACUUUCCUUCACGGAGUUCCGGGAACUUAGGGUUUCCGGAGUCGGUAAAGGAGUUCAUAGGGCGGGGGGGGGGGGGGGGGGUGUUUUGGGGUUUGGUGAUCAAACAAGGUCCAAAUCAAUUCAAACUCUACCCAAGGCUUCUAAAUAGUGUAUAACACUCAUAUAAAAAUUUUGGGCAUUUUUGGACUUACCAAUUAUUUUCUAAAAAUCUAUAACCAACAUUUUUAACCACUUUAAAUACCCUAAAAUUUCUUACUUCCACUAAAAAUCACAAACUUAUUUUUAUUAAAUACUAUGGAAAAUAACAGACCUAGGAAAAUUAGUCUCAUAUUUUUAGGAUUUUUCUACAUUUUUCUAUAAUUGUUUUGGCUCUGCUGUAAAAGAAAAAAGGAAAAUAUUCCAACAGUGAUGGGCCAGAUUCAGCUCAGCGGCCCAGUUCCAGAGGGAAAGCGCGCCCGCGCGCCCUGACGGUUUUGCAGAACGACCCCCGCGUUUUUAUCUAACAGCGAACGAGCCCUUUCACUAUUCCUGUGUGUCGCUGACCGAUCACAAAAAGGCCCCUGCGUUUCUUUCUAUUUCCGAUUGGAAGUCCACGACGGCGCUCGCGCACCGCCGUGCUCCGACGAGCAAGCAGAUCGGCCAGAAGGGACAACGGCUAGGGUUUUUGAGCAGCAGACACCAAAUUCAAGUCCUAAGGACUCUUUCCCCCCAAUCAAUUUCAUGCUUGGUGAUCUGCCAAGCUCUGCCCGCGAGGACAAUGCACGGCGCGGAUAGGUGUUCGUGUUCCAAUCAAUUCAUGGCAGUUAAAUUCAAUUGGAUGGUUUGGAAAGCAUCAAGGACACACGAGAAUGUUAGAACAAGCAACAGAGCAACAUGAACUGACCUAAUUUGGGCUGGCCACGGUGAGACUUGUUUCACGGUGGCGGAGAGCGAGGUUGGGGGAAAUUCCGAAUUCGAGCAGAUGAGUGGAUGAUUGUGGCUGAUUAGCGGUGGUUAGCUAGCGAACUACCCCACGGAGCUGGACACGGGCUCAAUUUAUAGGAAGGAUGGGCGGUGGUCGCGAAUUUGGACGAGACACGCGGCGGUCGGAGGUGAAGAAGAAGCACUGGCCGCGUGAGUUCGUGGCCAACGGCGUGGCAGUAACUCCGGUGAGCCACGGAGACUUCAGAGGAGGUCACGGCGACACGGUAAAAGAGUUGAGCCACGCGGCGCACGGCCGGGAGGCGGCGGUCGACGGUGAACAUAUCCACAUCCGCCGCGGUAACGAUGGUACGGUGGCCGGAGUUGUUUAAUGGCUGAAGUUUAUCCCCGGCGGUGACCUCCAAGCGUUAUCCACACGGUCCGCACGAAUCACAGCAACGGAUCGACCACCGGCGACGACCUACCAGCGACGAGCCCGCCGCGCUGGCAACCUGAUCCACUCGGGUCUACUGUACCAUGGCAAUCCUCAUUCAGAGCACCUGACAGCCGGAGUUGAGGGUCGAUUUUCUCCAAAUUUCACUUGGCGACUCACCCAAGUAUCUGCAUCAAAGUUGUAGUGCUACUUACCAACUACAAUUCGACUAUAGGGGCUACACUUAUUUGAGCACUGGAUCAAGGUCAAACUGGCUCUCAAACUUGGGUCUAGGCCACUGUUAGUCUGAAAUUCAGACAAUACUAGCCCGACAGCCUGACUUCAGGCUUAAUUACCUCCAAAAUUUUCUUAACAACUGUGCUCACACCUUUUAGCAAAGUUGUACUCCUAUAGUUGGGCUACAAUCUUGAUGUGGUGACCUAGGGCAAAAACCCUAUAAUUUGAAAGUGACAAAGCCCCAAAGUGGAGCCUUUAACACUAAAUUUCAGACUUGGUAUAGAACUCAAAUGAGGUCCAUUUUGCAUUUAAGUCCAAAACUUAGGGUUUGGCUUGUAAAUUCACAUAUUUGUGAACCAAAUGACUUUAUAUGUCAAAACAUAGUAGUUUUUACACUUUAGUCCAAAGGUUCAUCAUUUUUGCACAUAAGUCCCUAGGGUUUGGUUUUAGGGUUUUCUAGGGUUCCAAUUAGGGUUUCUGGUAUCCCAGGGGUACAAAAGUGAUUCAAGUUUAUUCUUAGGGUCAUUUUAUGACUUUUACCCUAAAGCUUUUUAGGUUUUCUUAACUUGGGUUAAGUUUUACCCCUUUAACCACUAUUUAGGGUUAAGUCCAUUAACCAGGGUUCCAUUUGCAAAAACAUUAAAACAAUACAACUUGUUUGAAAUUUUUGCCUAGUGAAUGCACUCUAGGUGUGUCACACAUAUGCAAUGCCAAUGCUUAUGAUGUCAUGCUCAAGUUUUAGUUAUAGUAACACCAGGGGUGUUACAAAAGCGAUGGAUGAUGUUGGUGAAGAACGCCACUGCCUGUUCGGACCUGAUGCUGUUUAGGGGUCGGACCUCGAUCCACUUGGAGAAUUUGUCGAUGGUGACCAACAGGUGCGUGUAGCCCCCGGGUGCCUUCUGCAAGGGGCCGACGAGGUCCAGACCCCACACAGCAAAAGGCCAGGUGAUGGGUAUCGUCUGUAGGGCCUGAGCGGGCAGGUGGGUCUGCCUUGCGUAGAACUGACACCCUUCGCAGGUGCGGACAAUUCUUGUGGCGUCGGCCACCGCCGUCGGCCAGUAGAAACCUUGUCGGAAGGCGUUUCCAACAAGGGCUCGAGGUGCUGCGUGAUGGCCGCAAGCCCCCGAGUGUAUCUCUUGUAGGAGCUCCUCAGACCAAACGGCAUGGUAACAUAGCAGUACAUGCCGAAGGGUGUGAUGAAAGAAUUCGCGAGCUGGUCAGACUCUUUCAUCUUGAUCUGGUGAUACCUCGAGUAGGCAUCGAGGAAAGACAGGGUUUCGCACCCAGUAGUGGAAUCCACGAUUUGAUCGAUGCGAGGCAGAGGGUAGGGAACUUUCGGACAUGCUUUGUUUAGACCAGUGUAGUCUACACACAUCCGCCAUUUCCCUCCUUUCUUUCUCACAAGCAGAGGGUUGGCAAGCCAUUCGGGAUGGAAUACCUCUUUGAUGAACACUGCCGCCAUUAGCUUGUGGAUCUCCUCGCCUAUAGCUCUGCGCUUUUCUUCGUCGAAUCGGCGCAGAGGCUGCUUCACGGGUCGGGCUCCAGCUCGGAUAUCCAGUGAGUGCUCGGCGACAUCCCUCGGUAUGCCGGGCAUGUCCGAGGGACUCCACGCGAAAACGUCGGCGUUUGCGCGGAGAAAGUCGACGAGCACUGCUUCCUAUUUGGGAUCGAGCUCGGAGCCGAUCCGGAUUUGCUUGGAGGCGUCGUUGCUGGGGUCGAGAGGGACGGAUUUAACCGUUUCCGCUGGCUCGAAGUUGUCGGCGUGGCGCUUCACGUCUGGCACCUCCUUAGAGAGGCUCUCCAGGUCGGCGAUGAGGGCCUCGGAUUCGGCGAGGGCCUUGGCGUACUCCACGCACUCCAUGUCGCAUUCGUACGCGUGUCGGUACAUGGGGCCGACGGUGAUGACCCCGUUGGGGCCCGACAUCUUGAGCUUGAGGUAGGUGUAGUUGGGGACGACCAUGAACUUGGCGUAGCAUGGCCUCCCCAGCACUGCGUGGUAGGUUCCUCGAAACCCGACCACCUCGAACGUGAGGGUCUCCCUUCGGAAGUUGGAGGGCGUCCCAAAGCAGACGGGUAGAUCGAGUUGUCCGAGGGGAUGGACGCGUUUCCCGGGGAUGAUCCCAUGAAAAGGCGCAGCGCCUGCCCGGACCGAGGAUAGAUCAAUCCACAGGAGCCCGCGGGUCUCGGCGUAGAUGAUGUUGAGGCUGCUGCCUCCGUCCAUGAGGACCUUGGUGAGCCUGACGUUGCCGAUGACGGGGUCGACAACGAGCGGGUAUUUCCCCGGGCUCGGCACACGGUCAGGAUGGUCGCCCUAGUCGAAGGUGAUGGGCUUGUCGGACCAGUGUAGGUAGACUAGCGCCACCACCUUUACCGAGCAGACCUCCCGACGCUCUUGCUUGCGGUGCCGAGCUGAGGUGUUCGCCACUCGCCCACCAUAGAUCAUGUAGCAGUCGUGGACCUCGGGGAACUCUCCUGCCUUGUGAUCUUCCUUCUUAUCGUCGUCGCGAGCCCUGCCACCCUCUGCGGGUGGCCCGACCUUAUGAAAGUGGCGCCGAAGCAUGGCGCACUCCUCGAGGGUGUGCUUGACGGGCCCCUGAUGAUAGGGGCACGGCUCCUUGAGCAUCUUGUCGAAGAGGUUGGCACCUCCGGGAGGUUUCCGAGGGUUUUUGUACUCGGCGGCGGCGACAAGGUCCGCGUCGGCGGCGUCACGUUUCGCUUGUGACUUCUUCUUGCCUUUCUUCUUGGCUCCGCGCUGGGUUGACGCCUCGGGGACAUCUUCCGGUGGGCGGCCCUGGGGCUGCUUGUCCUUCCGGAAGAUGGCCUCAAUCGCCUCCUGGCCAGAGGCGAACUUGGUGGCGAUGUCCAUCAGCUCGCUCGCCCUAGUGGGGGUCUUGCGACCCAGCUUGCUCACCAGGUCGCGGCAGGUGGUGCCGGCGAGGAACGCGCCGAUGACAUCCGAAUCGGUGAUGUUGGGCAGCUCGGUGCGCUGCUUCGAGAAUCGCCGGAUGUAGUCCCGGAGAGACUCUCCCAGCUGCUGUCAGCAGCUUCGGAGAUUCCAGGAGUUUCCAGGGCGCACGUAUGUGCCCUGGAAGUUGCCGGCGAAGGCUUGGACCAGGUCGUCCCAGUUGGAGAUCUGCCCCGGAGGCAGGUGCUCCAACCAGGCCCGAGCGGUAUCAGAGAGGAACAGGGGGAGGUUGCGGAUGAUGAGGUUGUCAUCGUCCGUUCCACCCAGUUGGCAGGCCAGCCGGUAGUCCGCGAGCCACAGUUCCAGUCUCGUCUCCCCCGAGUACUUUGUGAUAGUAGUCGGGGUUCGGAACCGAGUCAGGAACGGCGCCCGUCGUAUGGCACGGCUGAAAGCCUGUGGACCGGGUGGUUCGGGCGAGGGACUCCAAUCCUCCCCGCUGUCGUAGCGUCCCCCAUGCCUGGGGUGGUAGCCUCGGCGCACCCUCUCGUCGAGGUGGGCCCGACGGUUGCGGUGAUGGUGCUCGUUGCCGAGGCGACCCGGGGCCACAGGCGUUGUGUUGCGCGUGCGCCCGGUGUGGACCGAGGCUUCCCGCAUGAAUCGGGAAGUCGCGACGCGAUGUUCCGAGGGGCGCCCCUGCCUUCGGGAGGCGGAGCUUUCGGCCUGUCGGACCGCGGCGUCCUCCAGGAGAUUCUUGAGCUCUCCCUGGAUACGUCGCCCCUCGGUGGUUGAUGGCUCCGGCAUCGCGCGGAGAAGUAUUGCCGCUGCAGCCAGGUUCUGGCCGACUCCGCUGGAAGUGGGUGGCGGCCUUACCCUGACGUCGUCGGCGAUGCGAUGCUGGAAGCCCUGGGGGAGAUGACGCGCUUCUCCGGGCGGAGGUUGGCCCGUCCAUUCCUGCCCGAGCUCAAGUGUUCCUGCUCCCCCGUCGUCGGCUCAAGUGUUCCUGCUCCCCCGUCGAGCCUGGCCUGCAUCUCGCGGAUUUGCUCAAGCUGUGGGUCAGGACCCCCCGCCGGGACGGGGACCACAGCUAGCUCCCGAAGGAUGUCAACACGAGGUACAGGCCUAGGGAGAUCACCGUUCUCCGACAUACCAAGAUGGUUGCCUUCGUCGGGAUCCCCUAGAUCGAUGUGGAAACAUUCACGACUUGGGCCACAGUCCUCGUUGCCGAGGCUGCGGCUACCGUCGGAACAAUCAGAAAGGCAAUAGUCGCACGCGGUCAUAAAGUCCCGCAUGGCACUGGGGUUACCAAGUCCAGAGAAAUCCCAACAGAAGUCGAGCUCGUCAUCUUCCUCGGACCCCGAGGGCCCGUAGGUCGAGACGACCGUCAGCCGGUCCCAGGGUGACCGCAUACGACACCCCAGAGGGUUUGGACUCGCCUCUAUGAGAGCGUCCACCGAAGCGAAGUCGCUUGGUGGGUCGAGGCUGAAUCCAAAAGGCGCGAGAUGGGAAUCGGUCGGUACCUCUUGGUCGACGGGCGGUGACGAAGUCACGUCAGGGACUGACCGCACCGUCGUCUCAGGUACAAGGGUGACGCCCAGCAAGUCCUUCGCGAGCGUGCUGGCGUCGUCCGUUUGCUUGGGGUUGGCGUGUUGCGGGGAGACGACGCUCGUCUUCGUCUCAGACGCGAGGUCGGUGCUCGACGUGCCCCCCGCUGAGGCGCCGGCGCCGUCAACUCGCUCGACAGCCGACGAGGUGCCGCCUCCUGCUUGGCCUUGGUUGCCCCGCCCCCUCCUCCGUCGGUGGGGGAGGGGACGGGACAAGCCCGAAUGUUGUUCUUCCACCACGCGGGGAAGGCGUCGUCGAUUCCGCCGCCGGCGGGCGGGCUGUCGGCCGCCAUUGUCGCUGUCGCGCGGCGGGGGAAGAAGUAUCAUGUCGUAGCUGCCGUCGUGGGACAUGAACUCAAGACUCCCGAAACGGAGCACCGUCCCGGGCUGGAAAGGUUGCUGGAGACUGCCCAUCUGGAGCUUGACGGGAAGCUGUUCGUCAACACGCAAUAGGCCCCUACCUGGCGCGCCAACUGUCGGUGUUUCGAACCCGGGGGGUCCCUGGACCGAUGAGUAAAUUAUCGCCGCGUGCCCCAGCCCAGAUGGGUCGGCGCGAGACGGAGCGCGAAGGGGGGAAGCAGCCGGAGGGAGACAGGCGUGAGAGGUGAAAUCCCGCGGCCUUCGUGUUUGUCCCGCGCCCAGGUCGGGUGCGCUUGCAGUAGGGGGUUACAAGCGUCCACGCGGGAGGGAGCGAGCGGCCCUGCGCGAGCGCCGUCCCGUCCUUCCCCGCGCGACCAACUGAUAGUCGCCUAGAGGGGGGGGGGUGAAUAGGGCGAAACUGAAAUUUACAAAUAUAAACACAACUACAAGCCUGGUUAGCGUUAGAGAUAAUAACGAGUCCGAGAGAAAGGGCGCAAAACAAAUCGCAAGCAAAUGAAGAGUGUGACACAUGGAUUUGUUUUACCGAGGUUCGGUUCUUGCAAACCUACUCCCCGUUGAGGAGGCCACAAAGGCCGGGUCUCUUUCAACCCUUACCCUCUCUCAAACGGUCCCUCGGACCGAGUGAGCUUCUCUUCUCAAAUCAAAACCGGGAACAAAACUUCCCCGCAAGGGCCACCACACAAUUGGUGCCUCUUUCCUUGAUUACAAUGGAGUUUUGAUCACAAGAAUAAGUGAGAAAGAAAAGAAGCAAUCCAAGCGCAAGAGCUCAAAGGAACACGGCAAAUCUCUCUCGCUAAUCACUAAAGCCUUGAGUGGAAUUGGAGAGGAUUUGAUCUCUUUGGUGUGUCUAGAAUUGAAUGCCUAGCUCUCGUAAGUGGUUGAGAAGUUGAAAACUUGGAUGCAAUGAAUGGUGGGUGGUUGGGGGUAUUUAUAGCCCCAACCACCAAACUAGCCGUUUGGUGGGGCUGUCUGUCGCAUGGUGCACCGGACAGUCCGGUGCACACCGGACAUGUCCGGUGCGCCAGCCACGUCACCAAAGCCGUUGGGUUAUGACCGUUGGAGCUCUGUCUUCUGGGCCCGCCUGGAUGUCCGGUGGCGCACCGGACAUGCACUGUAGAGUGUCUGGUGCGCCAGCAUGGGCGUGCCUGACUUCUGCGCGCGCUGGCGCGCAUUUAAUGCGUCCGCAGGUAGCCGUUGGCGCCGAAGUAGCCGUUGCCCUGCUGUUACACCGGACAGUCCGGUGUACACCGGACAUGUCCGGUGAAUUAUAGCGGAGCAGCCGUCGCGAAUUCCCGAGGCUGCCAAGUUCCAGAGCCGCGUCCUCUUGGAGCACCGGACACUGUCCGGUGUACACCGGACAGUCCGGUGAAUUAUAGUGCGCCGGCUCUGAAAAUUCCCGAGGCUGAGGAGUUCAGCGCAAGGUCCCCUGGUGCACCGGACACUGUCCGGUGGCACACCGGACAGUCCGGUGCGCCAGACCAGGGAGCCUUUCGGGAUGCCUUUAGCUCUCUAUUUUGAACCCAACAUUGGUCCUUUUAAUUGGCUUGUUGUGAACCUUUGGCACCUGUAUAACUUAUACACUAGAGCAAACUAGUUAGUCCAAUUAUUUGUGUUGGGCAAUUCAACCACCAAAAUUAUUUAGGAACUAGGUGUAAGCCUAAUUCCCUUUCAAUCUCCCCCUUUUUGGUGAUUGAUGCCAACACAAACCAAAGCAAAUAUAGAAGUGCAAUUUGAACUAGUUUGCAUAAUGUACGUGCAAAGAUUGCUUGGAAUUGAGCCAACAUAAAUACUUAUAAGAUAUGCAUGGAUUGUUUCUUUGUUUUUAACAUUUUGGACCACGCUUGCACCACAGAUUUUGUUUUUGCAAAUUCUUUUGUAAAUCCUUUUCAAAGUUCUUUUGCAAAUAGUCAAAGGUAAAUGAAUAAGAUUUUAUGAAGCAUUUUCAAGAUUUGAAAUUUUCUCCCCCCUGUUUCAAAUGCUUUUCCUUUGACUAAACAAACCUCCCCCUAAAUGAGAUCCUCCUCUUAGUGUUCAAGAGGGUUUUGAUAUAUCAUUUUGAAAUACUACUUUCUCCCCCUUUUGAACAUAAUGAGAUACCAAUUUGAAGUUUACCAAUUGAAAAUCUCCAAUUUAAAAUUAGGUGGUGGUGGGUGGUGGUGCGGUCCUUUUGCUUUGGGCUCAUACUUUCUCCCCCUUUGGCAUGAAUCGCCAAAAACGGAAUCAUUAGAGCCCUAAGAAUUACUCUCUCCCCCUUUGGUAAUAAAUAAAUGAGUGAAGAUUAUACCAAAGACGGAGUCCUUUUGCUUGGUGCUCAUGCUUUCUCCCCCAGAAAUGGAGAGUUGCUUGGAGUGACAGCGAAGGAUGAGUUACGGAGUGGAAGCCUUUUGUCUUCGCCGAAGACUCCAAUUCCCUUUCAAUAUACCUAUGACUUGGUUUGAAAUAGACUUGAAAAACACAUUAGUCAUAGCAUAUGAAAGAGACAUGAUCAAAGGUAUACAAAUGAGCUAUGUGUGCAAUUUAGCAAAAGAAAUUGCGCGAAUCAAGAAUAUUGAGCUCAUGCCUAAGUUUGUUAAAAGUUUGUUCAUCAAGAGGCUUGGUAAAGAUAUCGGCUAAUUGAUCUUUAGUGUUAAUGUAAGAAAUCUCGAUAUCUCCCUUUUGUUGGUGAUCCCUAAGAAAAUGAUACCGAAUGGCUAUGUGUUUAGUGCGGCUAUGCUCGACGGGAUUAUCCGCCAUCUUGAUUGCACUCUCAUUAUCACAUAGCAAAGGGACUUUGGUUAAUUUGUAACCGUAGUCUCGCAGGGUUUGCCUCAUCCAAAGCAAUUGCGCGCAACAAUGGCCUGCGGCAAUGUACUCGGCUUCAGCGGUAGAAAGAGCAACGGAAUUUUGCUUCUUUGAAGCCCAAGACACCAAGGAUCUUCCCAAGAACUGGCAAGUCCCCGAUGUGCUCUUUCUAUUAAUCUUACACCCCGCCCAAUCGGCAUCCGAAUAACCAAUCAAAUCAAAUGUGGAUCCCCGAGGGUACCAAAGCCCAAACUUAGGAGUAUAAGCCAAAUAUCUCAAGAUUCAUUUUACGACCUUAAGGGUGGAUUCCUUAGGGUCGGAUUGGAAUCUUGCACACAUGCAAACGGAAAGCAUAAUGUCCGGUCGAGAUGCACAUAAAUAGAGUAAUGAACCUAUCAUCGACCGGUAUACCUUUUGAUCGACGGAUUUACCUCCCGUGUCGAGGUCGAGAUGCCCAUUGGUUCCCAUGGGUGUCUUGAUGGGCUUAGCAUCCUUCAUUCCAAACUUGGUUAGAAUGUCUUGAGUAUACUUCGUUUGGCUAAUGAAGGUGCCUUCUUGGAGUUGCUUGACUUGAAAUCCUAGAAAAUACUGCAACUCCCCCAUCAUCGACAUCUCGAAUUUUUGUGUCAUGAUCCUACUAAAUUCUUCACAUGUAGAUUCGUUAGUAGACCCAAAUAUAAUAUCAUCAACAUAAAUUUGGCAUACAAACAAAUCAUUGUCAAGAGUUUUAGUGAAUAAAGUAGGAUCGGCCUUGCCGACUUUGAAGCUAUUCGCUAUAAGGAAAUCUCUUAGGCAUUCAUACCAUGCUCUUGGGGCUUGCUUGAGCCCAUAAAGCGCCUUAGAGAGUCUAUAGACAUGGUUAGGAUACUCACUAUCUUCAAAGCCGGGAGGUUGCUCAACAUAGACCUCUUCCUUGAUUGGUCCAUUGAGGAAGGCACUUUUCACGUCCAUUUGAUAAAGCUUAAAGCCAUGGUAAGUAGCAUAGGCCAAUAAUAUACGAAUUGACUCAAGCCUAGCUACGGGUGCAUAGGUUUCACCGAAAUCCAAACCUUCGACUUGGGAGUAUCCCUUGGCCACAAGUCGAGCUUUGUUCCUUGUCACCACACCAUGCUCAUCUCGCUUGUUGCGGAAGACCCAUUUGGUUCCUACAACAUUUUGAUUAGGACAUGGAACUAAAUGCCAUACCUUAUUCCUAGUGAAGUUGUUGAGCUCCUCUUGCAUCGCCACCACCCAAACCGAAUCUUGGAGUGCUUCCUCUACCCUGUGGGGCUCAAUAGAGGAAACAAAAGAGUAAUGCUCACAAAAAUGUGCAACACGAGAUCGAGUGGUUACCUCCUUAUGAAUGUCGCCGAGGAUGGUGUCGACGGGGUGAUCUCGUUGGAUUGCUUGGUAGACUCUUGGGUGUGGCGACCUUUGUUCUUCAUCCUCCUUGUCUUGAUCAUUUGCAUCUCCCCCUUGAUCAUUGCCGUUAUCUUGAGGUGGCUCAUUUGCUUGAUCUUCUAUUUCAUCAACUUGAGCUUCAUCCUCAUUUUGAGUCGGUGGAGAUGCUUGCGUGGAGGAGGAUGGUUGAUCUUGUGCAUUCGGAGGCUCUUCGGAUUCCUUAGGACACACAUCCCCAAUGGACAUGUUCCUUAGCGCGAUGCAAGGAGCCUCUUCAUUACCUAUCUCAUCAAGAUCAACUUGCUCUACUUGAGAGCCGUUAGUCUCAUCAAACACAACGUCACAAGAAACUUCAACUUGUCCAAUGGACUUGUUAAAGACUCUAUAUGCCCUUGUGUUUGAAUCAUAUCCUAGUAAAAAGCCUUCUACAGUCUUAGGAGCAAAUUUAGAUUUUCUACCUCUUUUAACAAGAAUAAAACAUUUGCUACCAAAGACUCUAAAAUAUGAAAUAUUGGGCUUUUUACCGGUUAGGAGUUCAUAAGAUGUCUUCUUGAGGAUUCGGUGUAGAUAUAACCGGUUGAUGGCGUAGCAGGCGGUGUUGACCGCCUCGGCCCAAAACUGAUCCGAAGUCUUGUACUCAUCAAGCAUGGUCCUUGCCAUGUCCAAUAGAGUUCGAUUCUUCCUCUCCACUACACCAUUUUGUUGUGGCGUGUAGGGAGAAGAGAACUCAUGCUUGAUGCCCUCCUCCUCAAGGAAGCCUUCAAUUUGAGAGUUCUUGAACUCUGUCCCGUUGUCGCUUCUAAUUUUCUUGAUCCUUAAGCCGAACUCAUUUUGAGCCCGUCUCAAGAAUCCCUUUAAGGUCUCUUGGGUUUGCGAUUUUUCCUGCAAAAAGAAUACCCAAGUGAAGCGAGAAUAAUCAUCCACUAUUACAAGACAAUACUUACUCCCGCCGAUGCUUAUGUAAGCAAUCGGGCCGAAUAGAUCCAUGUGGAGUAGCUCAAGCGGCCUGUCGGUCGCCAUGAUGUUCUUGUGUGGAUGAUGGGCACCAAUUUGCUUUCCUGCUUGGCAUGCGCUACAAACCCUGUCUUUCUCAAAAUGAACAUUGGUUAGUCCUAAAAUGUUUUCUCCCUUUAGAAGCUUGUGAAGACUCUUCAUCCCAACAUGGGCUAGUCGGCGGUGCCAGAGCCAACCCAUGUUAGUCUUAGCAAUUAAGCAAGUGUCGAGUUCAGCUCUAUCAAAAUCUACUAAGUAUAGCUGACCCUCCAACACUCCCUUAAAUGCUAUUGAAUCAUCACUUCUUCUAAAGACAGUGACAUCUACAUCAGUGAAAAGACAAUUGUAACCCAUUUUGCAUAAUUGAGAUACAGAAAGCAAAUUGUAAUCUAAUGAAUCUACAAGAAAAACAUUGGAAAUAGAAUGGUCAGGAGAUAUAGCAAUUUUACCCAACCCUUUGACCAAACCUUGAUUUCCAUCCCCGAAUGUGAUAGCUCGUUGGGGAUCUUGGUUUUUCUCGUAGGAGGAGAACAUCUUCUUCUCCCCAGUCAUGUGGUUUGUGCACCCGCUAUCGAUGAUCCAACUUGAGCCCCCGGAUGCAUAAACCUACAAAACAAGUUUAGUUCUUGACUUUAGGUACCCAAACGGUUUUGGGUCCUUUGGCAUUAGAAACAAGAACUUUGGGUACCCAAACACAAGUCUUGGAGCCCUUGUGUUUGCCCCCAACAAACUUGGCAACUACCUUGCCGGAUUUGUUAGUUAAAACAUAUGAUGCAUCAAAAGUUUUGAAUGAAAUAUCAUGAUCAUUUGAUGCAUUAGGAGUUCUCCUUUUAGGCAACUUAGCACGGGUUGGUUGCCUAGAGCUAGAUGUCUCACCCUUAUACAUAAAUGCAUGAUUAGGGCCAGAGUGUGACUUCCUAGAAUGAAUUCUCCUAAUUUUGCUCUCGGGAUAACCGGCAGGGUAUAAAAUGUAACCCUCGUUAUCCUGAGGCAUGGGAGCCUUGCCCUUAACAAAAUUAGACAAUUUUUUAGGAGGGGCAUUAAGUUUGACAUUGUCUCCCCUUUGGAAGCCAAUGCCAUCCUUGAUGCCAGGGCGUCUCCCAUUAUAAAGCAUACUACGAGCAAAUUUAAAUUUUUCAUUCUCUAAGUUAUGCUCGGCAAUUUUGGCAUCUAAUUUUGCUAUAUGAUCAUUUUGUUGUUUAAUUAAAGCCAUGUGAUCAUGAAUAGCAUUAACAUCAACAUCUCUACAUCUAGUACAAAUAGAAGUGUGCUCAACGGUAGAUGUAGAGGUUUUGCAAGACUUUAAUUCUACAACCUUAGCAUGCAAUAUAUCUGUUGGUGACUUGUUCUCAAAAGCUAUGAGUUAAGAACAAGGCAACACAGAAAAUGUUAAUUGGUAAAGUCCUUCGUCCUUCGAAGCAUUAUCUCCCUUCGGAUAUAAUGGAUUUCGGACGAAGGUUAUGAAGGGCAAACCUUCAUAAUCAUAAUAAAAGAUGAAGAAAGAUUCAUAUACAAAAUAUGGAAAAUAGCAUAAUCACUUUAAACAUUAUUAUCAAUUUAUUUUUAUUUAUACUACUUGUGUAAGCAAUAACAAAUUACAAAUGUACCUUCGGCUUGAAGGAAAGUAAGAAUACGAGCGUGAUGCUAGAGCGAAUGCCAAGUCAGCGUCAAUAGUACGGGGAUACUGUUCACCUAUUUAUAGGCACGGGACACAGCCCAUACAGAAUUACAUUCAUGCCCUUUACAUUUGGUAAUAAUUCUAUAGUAAUCCACCGAGGUCUGAAUGGCCUUUUCAUCUUUAAGUCGGUUCCAUUUUCUGCCACCACGCCGAAGCUUUCCCGCUCACAUCUUCGGCGCUGUAUCAACCUUUGUAUUAUUUUGGGCUUCUCCUACUGCGAUACCGACUCGAGUUCGAAGAUACCUGUUUACACAUUAUACUCCAGAAAUACUGUUAAAUCAUGUUUUUGAGGACCUUCGUAAGCCGAAGGCCCCCAACAGUAGCCCCUCACAAUAUUAAUUUGUUAAAAUAAUAAAUUUAGAUUGCGACAUGGACGAAGGCUUUAAGCCGAAGGUCCGAAAAAACACCUUCCCUUUGCUAGAAUAGCAACAUUCACUGACAGGCGAGGUCUUUCAAUUUUCAACGCACUGGGCGUAUAAAUAAGAGCAUACCGCAAGCUCAUUUGGCACGCUUUCUUGCCAUCUGCUCUCGCUCACUCAAUUUUUAGCUCUUGCGCACCAAGAUUUGCUUUAGCUUUUUAAGUUUUGAAGCUUCGGCAAUUGAAAACAGUUUUUUAGCGUUUCCGAAGAUGUCUGAAGAUAAGAAGGCUGCUGCCGAGAUGAAGCUGAGUCUUUCUGAAGAGAAGAAUCUGGGGUUUCUUAUAGCAAUGUCGAAGACCAAUACAGAAAAAAUCACCAAAGAGAUUUUAGAAGGUUUGUCUGAAGAUACUGAUGACAGCGACAGUUAUGAUGUGGAUAGCGACGGUGAAGACUCCGAAGAUCGCCCCUGGCGACCAAGCCAUUAAGUUUUUGGCAAAUCAGGUAUCAAAGAGAAUCAUCUUGUCAACAUGAGAGAAAGAUAUUUCCGGGACUUAUCCAUUGUGAGGGUUGACGAAGGAGAGAAAACUUGUCCGACUCCUGAGGAAAUUGAAGUCGUAGUGUUCCGAAGCUUUUUGAAAGCUGGACUACGAUUUCCCCUGAGCAGCUUUGUCGUAGAGGUGCUUAAAAUAUUCGAAGUCUAUCUUCACCAACUUACCCCCGAAGCAAUCGUAAGGCUGAAUAUCUUCGUGUGGGCCGUGAGAAGCCAAGGUCUGGAACCUGAUGCGAAAAGUUUCUGCAACAUACACGAAUUGUUAUACGAGACAAAACCUUGGGGUAAGGAACAGUAUCACAAUAAUUUUGGCUGCUACAGUUUCGUUUCUCGAUCUGGGUCAAGCUGUCCCGUGCCAACCUUUCGGAAGAGAUGGCCCGACGACUGGAUGACAGAAUGGUUUUAUGUGAAGAAUGACCUGAAAGUACGAGAAGAUAUCAAAGGUAUAAUUAUGCGCCCCAUUUGGCAAAGCUUCGGCCUGCGGAGACCGAAGGUUGAAAUGAAUGAAGCCGCCGAAGAAUGCCAGAGAGCCUUCGGAGUUAUCUGUUCUUUUAUUGGAACAAGAGAUUUGGUCCAGGAGCAUAUUGCCUUCAGAGUAUGGCCGCUUGCGGAAAAAUGGGAAAUGCCGCAAGAAACCAUAAAGGAGGCUGACGAAGGUGGACUUAUCAGGCUGAAGUAUACUUUUAAGUUCGGAGAUAAAUUCGUUGAGCCAGAUGAUGACUGGCUAAAAAGCAUUGAAAAUUUAAGUGAUGAACUGCUUGGGGCUUACUCGAAGGCCGAAGAUACUGCAUUGUCAGCAGCCUUCGGAGGCCGAAAAAAGAAAAGACUGAACCGGGUGUUUGACGCAAUCGGGUUCGUCUACCCUGACUAUCGUUAUCCUAUUCGAGGGCAGAAAAGAAAAAACACAACCUCUGCGAAAGAAGAGGCUGCAACUGCUCCUAAUGAGCCAGCACCGAAAAGAAAAAGGAUAAAAGUCCUCACACAUCGGCCACGCUAUAUUGAACCAGCCUCGGUGCCUGAGUUCGUCGGAGAGACCUCUUCGGCCACCGAAGCUGAAAAGCCAAUCAAGCCAACCUUGCUGCCAGAAGUCACAGAAAUGGCCGAAGCGUCAACAAAAACUGAAUUGGAAGAACCAAAGAUUUUGUUAUCAGAAACCAAAGAGAUGGCCGAAGCGCCAUUGUCAGAAAAAAUGGAAGAAGCAAAAGGAUCAGCUGAAGGAUCAAAAAUAUCAGAAGUUUUAAGUCCUUCAUCAAAUGUUGAGACAACAAAAAUCCAAAAGGGGCCAGCGGUGACUCCGAAAAGAAAGAGAAUGGUCAAUGUAUUAGAUGUUCUAGAAACAAUUAAGUCUUCAAGCACAACUCCGAAGAAGACUGUUGCAAUUUCCGAAGCAAAAACUGAAAUUUCUGAUACUAAGGCUUCAGAGCAAGAAUCUGAAGCUGAAGCUGGGCCCCCAGAGCCCACGAAAGUAAAAUCCUUGGAAACCGAGGAAAAAAGAAUAACGAAGCCAAUUCUUGUUGAAGAAAUCAGUGCUAUUGCCCCCGAAGCAUCUCCCAAAGUCCUUGAUUAUAUUGUCCGUCAUGCUUCGGGGAAAAAAAUAUCAGAAAAAGAAAAGCAAGAGGCCCAGCUUUAUGCCCAAAAACUGAAGUAUCCAAAGGGGGCAUUAAUAUUCAACGGCAGUGGAGAAGAAGACUUUUUGUAUUGUCUUCCUGACAGCAAGGAGAUUUCUGUCUGUCGGGAGAUGAGCAAGAGCUUCGGAUUCCCAACACUAGAAGACGGGCUCUCGGUGCUGUCGAAAAACGAACUGGCCGACAGCCUGGCAUACAAUAGCUUAAAGGUGCAAGAAAUGAGAUCUUUGUAUUUUUUCUUAAGACCAAAAUUUUUCGUUUGCUUAAAUCUAUUGAUGCACACACAUUUUCCUUUGCAGGGCCUUAUACUUAGCAAUGCCCUCAGGGCCCAAAAAGAUGCCGAAGAUGAAGGGUGUGCUAUAGCCCUGAGCAACCUUCGUUCCGAAGUAAUUGAACUGAGGAACGAAGGUCUCGAAAAAGAUAAAAUAUUACAUUCAUUGAUAAAUAGAAUAAAGGAAGACGAAGCUACUUUUAAAGGUCAAGCUGAGGCUCAGAAGCGUGAAAUUGAAGAUCUUCGAAAACAACUGGCCAGAGCCAAAGAGCAACGCAUACUUGAAGAAACGAAGCGAGAACUUAGCGACCAAUGGGCAAAUCAUUUAGAGGGAACUGUUGAAGAGCUUCGCUCAUCCAAGAAAAGAUGUUAUACCAAAUCUAUGGAGUGUGUUAAGAAGUUGAAAGCUAGCUUCGCCAGCGUCGGCGCAUUCUCGAGCGAAGAAAACUUUACUAGAGGCAACCCCGAAGGUCCCAUCGAAUGGAUUACUCACGAAGCUGAGGCCUUCGAGGAAAUUUUAAAUAGCCGCGGAGACAUAUGUGCUUUCUCGGGUGCCAGGGGAAUUGCCACCAUUUUGGAGAAAAAGGGCUGCGAACAUGUAAAGAUUUUAGCGCAAUCCGAAGCUACCUUAUCCUUCGAAGAUGCAAGAGAUCCUUCAGCCGAAGCUAGCAUGGUUGGUGGAAAAUUUUUCACCGAUGUCUGGGAUAAUGGUGGCCGAGAAAUGGCCCGAGAAAUUAUCCGAAAAAGCGAAAAGGGUAUUCACGAUGCUAGAGAAGUAGCUGAGGCUGUUGAAAAAAACGCAGAACCCGAAGAGCAAAUAGGUAUUAACUAAUGGUUUUUAUUGUGUUGUAAUUUUUGAUUUUAAACUUCAUUCACAAUUUGUAAUAGCAAUGUAGCCGUAUCCUGUCCUCCUUCAGAUCCUACUAAAACAUCUCCGGGCCCCCACCCGAAAGGAGAUGACGAAAUUAAAAAGAUGGCUGAAGCUAUCAUGGAUGAAGUUGUUGAUCGGCUACUGAACGAAGCUGCGGAAGUUGUUCUGAGAGAAGAUUAAGUACUAUUGUAAAAACUUCUGGAAUGUAACAUGUGUAACAUCUUGCAGCCCUAAAUAUAAUAUACCUGUUUUUAUUGUUCAGUUCUUUACGAUGCAUGAAAUUUUACAUACGUACCGUUUUUGAGUCGUUGACGAAAAAACACCUUCCCUUCUUUUCAUGCUUCGUGAAGAAGAAUUUUUAUUUAUCUCAACAAUAUCCGUAGUGCUCUGAUGAAUAAUAUCCAAGCUUCGUGAAGAUAUUUUCUGAAGCUACACUUCCGAAGAUCAAUAGUGUAUCUGCUUACGACUUAGCAUGAUUUUCUCCUUUUUUUUUAAAAAAAACAUUCUUCUGAAGAUCAAUAUUGUGUCCCCUUCUUGUGCCAUAUGCAGCAUGAUGUAUGAUGCUUAUGCUAUGCGAAAUGAUGUAAUGAUGUUAUGCUAUGUAAGAUGGUAUUUAUUCCAAAGAUACACGCACAUCCCUGCGAUAAAACACAUAAUCUUUCUGAAUCAGCUUUGACUUUUUGCUAUAAGCCUCCCUUAGGAGCUUCUUCGCCUUUUACUUCAGCGGAGUCAGCGUUUAUUUUUCGCUGUAAGCCUCCCUUAGGAGCUUCUUCGCCUUUUACUUUCAGCGGUAUUCGCGUUGACUUUUCGCGCUUCGCCUUUUACUUUAGGCGGUAUCAGCGUUGACUUUUCGCUGUAAGCUCUGCAUUCCCUUUGGAACGACUUUGGAGCAGAAAACUUACACUGCGCUCCCUUUGGAACGACUUUUUAUGACUUCAUCAAACUUACUCUGCGUUCCUUAGAACGACUUUUUGUUGCUUCGAAGAAUUUUUGAUAAUUCGAAGGUCCUCCUUGUUAUCGCAAAUCUUUAAGCUUUAACAACUUAAGCCUGUGGAGAAAGUAUAUUUUCCUUGUGGCAAACAACGAAACUAUUACAUGAAAUCUAAAAAAUGUCCUUUAUUACGUAGAAAAUAAAACUGAAUGAAAAAGACUGCUAUCCAGGUAGGAUAUUUGUCAAUAGAUGUGCUUUGACUCUGGCACAGUGCUGUUGACUGUGCGAGCUUCGGACUGUUCUCUGAAGUCCCUUUGGUGUGGAGCAUAUUGGCUCCCUUCUGGCUGUUGGCCCUGUUGUAGCGGUGGUGGAGGCGGAGGCUGUUGCCAGGAAGCUUGAGGUUGACUCGCCGAAGCAACAGAAACUGCAGGGUGGUUGCCUACAUAUUCUGGGAUGUAAGGCGAAUGAUACGAAGCAGUGUGCAUAACCUGCUUCAGCUGAGCCUGUUGUGCCGCAACUUCGGCUAUUUCCUUUUGCUUCUGGAUGGUAACAUGGCACAUCCUGGUGGUAUGGCCCUUGUUCUCACCACAGAACAAGCAAAAAAUUCUUCUUGGUUGAUCUCCAAAUCUUCCGCCGAAGCCCCUGGCGCCUCUGCCUCUUGGAGCUGGUGGUCGGAAGGAGCCUUGCUGUUGCCCCGAAGCUUGUGAGGAGCACUGUGGCCUUUGUUGCUGACUCCCCUUAUCAUCAUUUUGAGCAGAGUUAUGGAUUGACCUAACGUGCCUCGGAUAGAAUCUUCCUCCGAAGCCCCUGGUCAUUUCAGAAAACCUGAAAGCCUCCUCCCUUCUUUGAUGAAAAUCAUUAUCGGCCCGAAUAUACUCGUCCAUCUUCUGGAGCAGCUUCUCCAAAGUUUGAGGAGGCUUCCUAGCAAAGUACUGAGCUGAAGGUCCUGGCCAAAGCCCCUUGAUCAUGGCCUCAAUGACAAUUUCGUUGGGCACUGUUGGUGCCUGUGCCCUCAAACGCAAGAACCUUCGGACGUACGCCUGAAGGUAUUCUUCGUGAUCUUGGGUGCACUGAAAUAGAGCUUGAGCAGUGACCGGCUUCGUCUGAAACCCUUGGAAGCUGGUUAACAACAAGUCCUUCAGCUUUUGCCAUGAAGUGAUCGUUCCUGGUCGAAGGGAGGAAUACCAGGUUUGAGCAACACUCCUGACAGCCAUAACAAAAGAUUUGGCCAUGACUGCAGCAUUGCCACCAUACGAAGAUACUGUUGCUUCGUAGCUCAUCAAAAACUGCUUCGGGUCUGAGUGGCCAUCAAAUAUGGGAAGCUGAGGCGGCUUGUAGGACGGAGGCCAAGGUGUAGCCUGCAACUCAGCGGACAGAGGAGAAGCAUCAUCAAAAACAAAAUUCCCAUGAUGGAAAUUGUCAUACCAGUCAUCUUCGUUGAGGAAACCCUCCUGAUGAAGGUCUUGGUGUUGAGGCCUUCAGUGUUGCUCAUCCUGAGUAAGAUGACGAACUUCUUCAGAGGCUUCGUCUAUCUGCCGUUGCAGUUCAGCUAGCCUGGCCAUCUUUUCCUUCUUCCUCUGCACCUGUUGAUGAAGCAUCUCCAUGUCUCUGAUUUCUUGGUCUAUCUCAUCCUCUGGUGGUGUCGGGCUAACAGCCUUCCUUUUCUGGCUUCGGGCCUCCCGAAGGGAGACAGUCUCCUGAUUGUGAUCCAGCGGUUGCAGAGCUGCAGCCCCAGUUGUUGAAGCUUUCUUCGGCGCCAUAGCGAAGGUUUAUGAUCGCCGAAGGUAUUCAAAAACUCAAGGAAUGGAAGUGAGUUCACCGGAGGUGGGCGCCAAUGUUGGUGACUUGUUCUCAAAAGCUAUGAGUUAAGAACAAGGCAACACAUAAAAUGUUAAUUAGUAAAGUCCUUCGUCUUUCGAAGCAUUAUCUCCCUUCGGAUAUAAUGGAUUUCGGACGAAGGUUAUGAAGGGCAAACCUUCAUAAUCAUAAUAAAAGAUGAAGAAAGAUUCAUAUACAAAAUAUGGAAAAUAGCAUAAUCACUUUAAACAUUAUUAUCAAUUUAUUUUUAUUUAUACUACUUGUGUAAGCAAUAACAAAUUACAAAUGUACCUUCGGCUUGAAGGAAAGUAAGAAUACGAGCGUGAUGCUAGAGCGAAUGCCAAGUCAGCGUCAAUAGUACGGGGAUACUGUUCACCUAUUUAUAGGCACAGGACACAGCCCAUACAGAAUUACAUUCAUGCCCUUUACAUUUGGUAAUAAUUCUAUAGUAAUCCACCGAGGUCUGAAUGGCCUUUUCAUCUUUAAGUCGGUUCCAUUUUCUGCCACCACGCCGAAGCUUUCCCGCUCACAUCUUCGGCGCUGUAUCAACCUUCGUAUUAUUUUGGGCUUCUCCUACUGCGAUACCGACUCGAGUUCGAAGAUACCUGUUUACACAUUAUACUCCAGAAAUACUGUUAAAUCAUGUUUUUGAGGACCUUCGUAAGCCGAAGGCCCCCAACAAUAUCAUUCUUAGUUCUAUGGUCGGAAAUAGUAGUAUUGCAAACAUCAAAAUCUUUAGCCUUAGCAAGCAAUUUUUCAUUCUCAAUUCUAAGGCUAGCAAGAGAAAUAUUCAACUCAUCAAUCCUAGCAAGCAAAUCAAUAUUAUCAUCUCUAGAAUUGGAAGUUGAAACAUUACAAAUAUGAGAAUCAACCUUAGCAAUUAAUUUGGCAUUUUCAUUUCUAAGGUUGGUAAUAGUGUCAUGGCAUGUGCUUAGCUCACUAGAUAAUUUCUCACAUUUUUCUAUUUCUAGAGCAUAAGCAUUUUUAACCUUAACAUGUUUCUUAUUUUCCUUAAUUAGGAAGUCCUCUUGGGAAUCCAAAAGGUCAUCCUUUUCAUGAAUAGCACUAAUUAAUUCAUUUAAUUUUUCCUUUUGUUCCAUGUUAAGGUUGGCAAAAAGGGUACGCAAGUUAUCCUCCUCAUCACUAGCAUUAUCAUCACUAGAAGACUCAUAUUUAGUGGAUGAUUUGGAUUUAACCUUCUUCCUCUUGCCGUCCUUUGCCAUGAGGCACUUGUGGCCGACGUUGGGGAAGAGGAGUCCCUUGGUGACGGCGAUGUUGGCGGCGUCCUCGUCGUCGGAGGAGUCGGUGGAGCUCUCGUCGGAGUCCCACUCGCGGCACACGUGAGCAUCGCCGCCCCUCUUCUUGUGAUACCUCUUCUUUUCUCUCCUCUUGCCCUUCUUGUCGUCACCCCUGUCACUGUCACUUGAUAAUGGACAUUUAGCAAUAAAGUGACCGGGCUUACCACACUUGUAGCAAACCUUCUUGGAACGGAAUUUGUAAUCCUUCCCCUUCCGUUGCUUGAGGAUUUGGCGAAAGCUUUUGAUGAUUAAAGCCAUCUCCUCGUUGUCGAGCUUUGAAGCGUCCAUUGGUUGUCUACUUGGUGUAGACUCCUCCUUCUUUUCCUCCGUCGCCUUGAAUGCCACCGGUUGUGCUUCGGAUGUGGAGGGAUCAUCAAGCUCGUUGAUCUUCUUUGAGCCCUUGAUCAUACACUCAAAGCUCACAAAAUUCCCGAUAACUUCCUCGGGAGUCAUUAGUGUGUAUCUAGGAUUACCACGAAUUAAUUGAACUUGAGUGGGGUUAAGGAAGAUGAGUGAUCUAAGAAUAACCUUAACCACCUCGUGGUCAUCCCAUUUCUUGCUCCCGAGGUUGCGCACUUGGUUCACCAAGGUCUUGAGCCGGUUGUACAUAUCUUGUGGCUCCUCCCCUUGGCGAAGACGGAAGCGACCGAGCUCCCCCUCGAUCGUUUCCCGCUUGGUGAUCUUGGUGAGUUCAUCACCCUCGUGCGCGGUCUUGAGUAGAUCCCAAAUCUCCUUCGCAUUCUUCAACCCUUGCACCUUGUUAUAUUCCUCUUUACUUAGAGAGGCGAGGAGUAUGGUUGUGGCUUGGGAGUUGAAGUGCUCGAUUUGGACUACUUCAUCCUCAUCAUAGUUUUCAUCCCCUACAGAUGGUACCUGUGCACCAAACUCAACAACAUCCCAUAUACUUUUGUGGAGUGAGGUUAGAUGAAAUCGCAUUAAAUCACUCCACCUAGCAUAAUCUUCACCAUCAAAUGUUGGUGGUUUGCCUAAUGGGACGGAAAGUAAAGAUGUGUGUUUAGGAAUGCGAGGGUAGCGUAGGGGGAUCUUACUAUACUUCUUACGCUCUUGGCGUUUUGAAGUGACAGAUGCCGCGUCGGAGCCGGAGGUAGAUGCCGAUGAAGAAUCGGUCUCGUAGUAGACCACCUUCCUCAUCCUCUUUUUCUUGUCCCCACUCCGAUGUGGCUUGUGGGAAGAAGAUUUGUCCUUCUUCUCUUUGUGGUGUGAAGAAGAUUUCUUCUCCUUCCCUUUGGAGGAGUCCUUCUUCUUCUCCUUUCUCUUGAUGCGGGACUCUUCCGAUGAAGUGCUCCCGUGGCUUGUAGUGGGCUUUUCGCCGGUCUCCAUCUCCUUCUUGGCGUGAUCUCCCAACAUCACUUCGAGCGGUUAGGCUCUAAUGAAGAACCGGGCUCCGAUACCAAUUGAUAGUCGCCUAGAGGGGGGGGGUGAAUAGGGCGAAACUGAAAUUUACAAAUAUAAACACAACUACAAGCCCGGUUAGCGUUAGAGAUAAUAACGAGUCCGAGAGAAAGGGCGCAAAACAAAUCGCAAGCAAAUGAAGAGUGUGACACGUGGAUUUGUUUUAUCGAGGUUCGGUUCUUGCAAACCUACUCCCCGUUGAGGAGGCCACAAAGGCCGGGUCUCUUUCAACCCUUACCCUCUCUCAAACGGUCCCUCGGACCGAGUGAGCUUCUCUUCUCAAAUCAAAACCGGGAACAAAACUUCCCCGCAAGGGCCACCACACAAUUGGUGCCUCUUGCCUUGAUUACAAUGGAGUUUUGAUCACAAGAAUAAGUGAGAAAGAAAAGAAGCAAUCCAAGCGCAAGAGCUCAAAGGAACACGACAAAUCUCUCUCGCUAAUCACUGAAGCCUUGAGUGGAAUUGGAGAGGAUUUGAUCUCUUUGGUGUGUUUAGAAUUGAAUGCCUAGCUCUUGUAAGUGGUUGAGAAGUGGAAAACUUGGAUGCAAUGAAUGGUGGGUGGUUGGGGGUAUUUAUAGCCCCAACCACCAAACUAGCCGUUUGGUGGGGCUGUCUGUCGCAUGGUGCACUGGACAGUCCGGUGCACACCGGACAGUCCGGUGCACACCGGACAGUCCGGUGCACACCGGACAUGUCCGGUGCGCCAGCCACGUCACCAAAGCCGUUGGGUUCUGACCGUUGGAGCUCUGUCUUCUGGGCCCGCCUGGAUGUCCGGUGGCGCACCGGACAUGCACUGUAGAGUGUCCGGUGCGCCAGCAUGGGCGUGCCUGACUUUUGCGCGCGCUGGCGCGCAUUAAAUGCGUCCGCAGGUAGCCGUUGGCGCCGAAGUAGCCGUUGCCCUGCUGUUACACCGGACAGUCCGGUGUACACCGGACAUGUCCGGUGAAUUAUAGCGGAGCAGCCGUCGCGAAUUCCCGAGGCUGCCAAGUUCCAGAGCCGCGUCCUCUUGGAGCAUCGGACACUGUCCGGUGUACACCGGACAGUCCGAUGAAUUAUAGUGCGCUGGCUCUGAAAAUUCCCGAGGCUGAGGAGUUCAGCGCGAGGUCCCCUGGUGCACCGGACACUGUCCGGUGGCACACCGGACAGUCCAGUGCGCCAGACCAGGGAGCCUUUCGGGAUGCCUUUAGCUCUCUAUUUUGAACCCAACAUUGGUCCUUUUAAUUGGCUUGUUGUGAACCUUUGGCACCUGUAUAACUUAUACACUAGAGCAAACUAGUUAGUCCAAUUAUUUGUGUUGGGCAAUUCAACCACCAAAAUUAUUUAGGAACUAGGUGUAAGCCUAAUUCCCUUUCACCAACCCUCUCUAAGAGGGCCCUGGACCUUCCUUUUAUAGGCGUAAGGAAAGGAUCCAGGUGUACAAUGGGGGGUGUAGCAGUGUGCUAACGUGUCUAGCGGAGGUGAGCUAGCGCCCUAAGUACAUGCCAUCAUGGCAGCCGGAGAGGUUUCGGCACCCGGUUGGUGUGGUGUCGUGGCCGUCGGAGGAGCGCUGGAGCCUGGCGGAAGGACAACUGUCGGGGCUGUCGGGUCCUUGCUGACGUCCUCUUGCUUCCGUAAGAGGGCUGAGAGCCGCCGUCGUCAUAGAGCAUGCGGGGCGCCAUCAUUACUUGUCUGGCAGAGCGAGCCAGAUGGGAUGCCGGUCCUGUUCCCCGUAGCCUGAGUCAGCUUGGGGUAGGGUAAUGAUGGCGCCUCCUGUGACGUGGUCGGUCCGAGCCCUGAGUUGGGCGAGGUGGAGGCUCCUCCGAGGUUGAAGUCGAGUCUGUCUUCCGAGGCCGAGGUCGAGUCCGAGCCCCUGGGUCGGGCGAGGCGGAGACCGUCGGCUGAGGCCAGGGCUGAGUCCGAGCCCUAGGGUCGGGCGAAGCGGAGUUCGUCGUCUUCUGGGGCUGAGCCCGAGUCCAAGCCCUGGGGUCGGGCGAAGCGGAGUUCGUCGUCUUCCGGGGCUGAGCCCGAGUCCGAGCCCUGGGGUCGGGCGAAGCGGAGUUCGUCGUCUUCCGGGGCUGAGCCCGAGUCCGAGCCCUGGGGUCGGGCGAAGCGGAGUUCGUCGUCUUCCGGGGCUGAGCCCGAGUCCGAGCCCUGGGGUCGGGCGAAGCGGAGUUCGUCGUCUUCCGGGGCUGAGCCCGAGUCUGAGCCCUAGGGUCGGGCGAAGCGGAGUUUCCUACGGCGCCUGAGGCCGGACUUGGCUGCUGUCAGCCUCACUCUGUCGAGUGGCACGGCAGUCGGAGCGGCGCAGGCGGCGCUGUCCUCUUGUCAGGCCUGUCAGUGGAGCGGCGAAGUGACUACGGUCACUUCGGCUCUGUCAACUGGAGGACGCGCGUCAGGAUAAAGGUGUUAGGCCACCUUUGCAUUAAAUGCCCCUGCGAUUUGGUCGGUUGGCGUGGCGAUUUGGUCAAAGUUGCUUCUUGUUGAAGACUGGGCCUCGGGCGAGCCGAAGGUGUGUCCGUUGCUGGAGGGGGUCCUCGGGCGAGACGUAGAUCCUCCGGGGUCGGCUGCCCUUGCCCGAGGCUGGGCUCGGGCGAGGCGGGAUCGUGUCCCUUGAAUGGACCGCCUUUGCAGCUUUGUGCUGAUGGGGGUUACCAGCUGAGAUUUAGGAGUCUUGAGGGUACCCCUAAUUAUGGUCCCCGACAAGUAGCAUUUAAGGGAGUGUUAGUGGGUCAGCUAUACUUAGUUGAUUUUAAUAGAGCUGAACUCGACACUUGCUUAAUUGCUAAGACUAACAUGGGUUGGCUCUGGCAUCACCGACUAGCCCACGUUGGAAUGAAGAAUCUUCACAAGCUUCUAAAGAGAGAGCACAUUUUUGGACUAACAAAUGUUCAUUUUGAGAAAGACAGGAUUUGUAGCGCAUGUCAAGCAGGGAAGCAAGUUGGUGUUCAUCAUCCACAUAAGAACAUCAUGACGACUGAUAGUCCGCUUGAGCUACUCGACAUGGAUCUAUUCGGCCCGAUAGCUUACAUAAGCAUCAGCGGGAGUAAGUAUUGUCUUGUUAUUGUGGAUGAUUUUUCUCGCUUCACUUGGGUAUUCUUUUUGCAGGAUAAAUCCCAAACCCAAGAGACUUUAAAGGGAUUCUUGAGACGGGCACAAAAUGAGUUCGGAUUGAGAAUAAAAAAGAUAAGAAGCGACAACGGGACGGAGUUCAAGAACUCUCAAAUAGAAGGAUUUCUUGAGGAUGAGGGCAUUAAGCAUGAGUUCUCUUCUCCCUACACACCACAACAAAAUGGUGUAGUGGAGAGGAAGAAUAAAACUCUACUUGACAUGGCGAGGACCAUGCUUGAUGAGUACAAGACUUCAGACCGGUUUUGGGCAGAAGCAAUCAACACCGCUUGCUACGCCAUCAACCGUCUCUACCUUCACCGAAUUCUCAAGAAGACAUCAUAUGAACUCCUCACCGGUAAAAGCCCAAUGUUUCAUAUUUUAGAGUCUUUGGUAGCAAAUGCUUUAUUCUUGUUAAAAGAGGUAGAAAAUCUAAAUUUGCUCCUAAGGCUGUAGAAGGCUUUUUACUUGGUUAUGACUCAAACACAAGGGCAUAUAGAGUCUUUAACAAGUCCACUGGACUAGUUGAAGUUUCUUGUGACAUUGUGUUUGAUGAGACUAACAGCUCUCAAGUAGAGUGAAGCGUCCCAAUCCUCUGGGACUCAAAUGUGAUACAAUUACUAGUCCUAGGAGGCUAGUAAACACAUUUAUACAUCAGAUGAUUCCAGAUAUGCUUAAACGAGACAAACCUAUAAAGGUGGCGAUCAACUUUAGAGUUGGUCCACAACUCGGGACAUAUCAUCAGAGUGGGGCUGAAGUAGCCCGAUAUACGCAGCGAAGCAAAUCAGCGGUCCAACAGCCACAGGCAAGGUUGGGAACAGUCGUAACUCUUACAUGAUCUCCUUUUCUAAAAAACAACAAAUAAGCAAGGGUGAGUACAAACGUACUCAGCAGCCCACCUUCACCCGCGGAAUGGGGAAAUCAGAUAUAAUGCAUGGAAUAUGUGGAGCUCAGGAUAUUUUGCAGAAACAACAAUAUUUUAUGCAGGGUUGUUUUGAAAAAACAUUUUGUAUUUUGCAAAGCGCAUCCUCUCCAAAAGGAGCAGGAAGUUUUUCAGUAUUAGAACAAAAUCCCGUGGACUAAACCAUCCAGGUAUCUCAGUAGUUUCCCACUGGUUUUCAUUUUCAAAAACAGCUACUGGACUUCCCGUCCACCAUAGCUCACGGCUCAACCGCCGGACCUUUUAAAAACCACUUUUCAAAAGCACCCUUUUUUUGAAAACAAAACACUAAUUGCCAUACCACACCAGACUCGUCCAUUCCUAUGGACACAGACUAUUCUAAUAGGUGUGAACUCUGCGCAGAGGUGUACACUUUACCCACUAGUCCGGCUCUGCGAUCUCAUGGCCAAUGAGAUCCGAAUCCGAAUCUCUUUCUUUCCUCACACGUCCUAACCUUAACGGUUAUACCAGAAGGAGUCAGGCCACCGCCAUGUCCAAACCGGACAAAACAUUCCCCCUCCUUAUCGUCCCGGUGCUCCCCAGCCUUCAUAACCCUAAGGUUGGACCGUACGAGUUUAGAUUGAGUGAUUGUCCACACAGUCUCGAGUGGUUGUACUUAUCAUGAGUACAGGUAGUGAAAGAUGACAAACCGGUCCUUAUGUGAGGGGACAAUCCUUCUGCUCACACCUAAACCAGCUGAGCCAUCACCUUGGGCCCUCCCCUAAACCAGGGAGUCCCUGAUCAUCCCUACUCAAAGGUGAUAAGGGUGAAAACCCUUCAUCAUACACAUUUUGAAAAGCAUUUUCUUUUGAAAACUCACACCUUUUCUCAAAUCAUUUGGAACAAAUAUAUCAAGGAUUGAUUGCGGAAGCGGCUGGGUGGCCAUAAUAACUUGUCUCAAAAUCAUAUCAUGCAUAAAAUAACAGACUGAGUGUUGUGGUUGAAAAAUCAUAGGUAAUUUAUGCAUCAAAGGGAUCCAGUGAGCUUGUCGUGCUUAUCCGGCGAAGGGGAAAGGGGAGCUCACGGAACUGGCUUCUGGCUCCACCGCCUGGCGUAGACUUGCAAAUCUGGCCUCCACGAGACGGCACGAACGCUCCAAUAACUAUGCAACAUGAACAAGCAAACAUACAAACCAGCAAGUAUACCAACAAAUAUUUAGUAUAGUGGUCAGAAUAGCGACAUAUGGAUGGGUAGAGUCUUGAGUAGAAUCUAUGUCAUGUGGUGUUGUGAUAUUACUGGUGGUGGAGCGGAGGUGCUUACCAGGAGGGUGGACUGGAGGCGAAGCGACACUAUGCGUGUAGCCGGCAGAGCGGAGUAACUGAGUGGGUGGGGUGUUUGCCUUGGCUGAGGGUGUUGAGUGUGUGUGGAGAGGGAGAGGGUAGCUGGGUGUAUUUAUAGCUAAGUGUAUGUGGUGUAGCACAGUGAAGUUCACUGUUGGUGAGAAUAGUGACGAAUGAAUCGUCUGACUUAGUAUGAACAGGAGAGUUAUAGGCAGAAUAUGGGACAAGAGUAUUUUGGGAGUUUUCUGGAAUAUGGACCAGGCUUAAGGGAUGACAUGGUUGGAUAGGGAAUAAUUCGAUAAGAAUUUAGAAAUGAGAAUUAUUGGAAUCUGAGUUUGGAAGUCUGGUUCGAAGGAAUCUCAAAGUUAAGCGGGCUCAACUUGGAGAAACCUGGGAUGGGUGAGCAGAUGGGAAGUUCCCUACUGGAAGGAAAAUCAUAGUCACCGGAGUUCGUAUGACUGGAAUAUGGGUCUGACUGGUCUUAGGUGGACUGGACAACAUGAUGGAUGAGUAGUUGAAAUUUUGGGGUGAUCGGAUGAACGGUGAAUAGUAACAGUGAUGAAUAGUAACGAUGAAUAGUGAUGGUGAAUGGUAAUGGCGAAUAGUAAUGGUAAAUAGUGAUGUGAAUAGUUCGUAUGACCGAACGAUGAACGAUGAAUAGUGACGAUGAACGAACGAUGAACGAUGAAUAGGAACUAUGAACGAAUGGACGAACGUUCGAAUGACCGGACGAACGAACGAUCGGAAUUUCGGUAGCAUAACGGCAGGACAAAGAUUAUCUGGAAGAACGAUGAAUAGGGACUAUGAAUGAACGAUGAAUAGGAACUAUGAACGAAUGAUGAACGAUCGAAUGAUCGAACGAACGAACGAUCGAAAUGUCGGCAACAUAACGGUAGGAAAAAUAUUAUUUGGACGAACGAACAGACGAACGAACCAUGAACGAUCGGAUGAACGAUCGAACGAUCGGAUGAACGAUCGAACGAUCGGACGAACGAACGAACAAACUAAGAACAGAGGGACGAACGAUCGAAGAACGACCGAACGAUCCUUGUGCUAGUGUGUGCUUGUGUGGGAAGUGGAGUGGGUGUGUGUGGGGGGGGGGGAAGAGAGUUGCCAUGAAAUGGCUUAGGGUGGGAUGAGUGGAGGCCCUUGCCCCUCUAUUUAUAGCCAUGGUGGGGGGAUUAGGGGGAGGGA